CUUUGUCAAGAGCCCAUUGGAUGUCCUAUAAACUAUCCAGCCUAUCAGUUCGUUGAAUCUGAUAGGCAUGGAUACUCCCGAUAUGGAAUCCAUCCAUAACUUGUACUCUUGAAAAAGUAUGGGAUCUGGGGGUGAGGGAUUCUAAAGCCCUCCCCCCAUAAUUCAACAGUUUGCUUGUGCGGGAUCAGCCACCAUCCACUCAGGUAUCAGCUACUAGCCGCAGCGCAUGAUCUCUCUAUCUCUCUAUCUGAGGUUUUGGCUGACGCCAAGCAAACCGGCAAGUCACAGAAAGGCAUGGACUCAGUUAGGGCUCGUUAUGGUUUUAAUUUAUUUUCCUUUUGCUUUUCUUUUUAAAUGUAAUGUUGUAGUCGUUGCAUGAGAGUAUAAUAAAAGUUUGGUGUUGGUUGCAUGAGUAUUUGGCUGGCAGGCAGGCUUGUGACCGCGAGGCUCCUAAGUAAUUGACUGCUGAUGAUGAGUUUCUGUAAUCCCAUUACAAAAUGAGAAGAUCAAUCUCUCUCUCUCUCUCUCUCUCUCUCUCUUCUCUGAGAUGUGAGCAGUGAACACCCAUAUGUCAUCCAUGACGAAAUUGUAGAUGGUGGGGUUUCUGUCAUCCUUAAGUCAUAUAUAAAUUAAAUAUAAAGGAAAAAAGUCCUUAACCUCGUUUAACGAGUGAGUGAUUUAGAGAUAGAGAAGAUCUGAAACCUUGAUACCCGGUGAAAUGGAGCUCUUCCAUUUUGUUAAUUAACCAUACCAUUGUAAGCAGGGAGUAAAGAACCAUUUUAAAGGGAAGAGUCACUGAAGAAAUUCAGUCAUCACCAGUAGUGGCUGGCUGUCUUCUCUGGUGGACAGCCUCAUUGCAGAUGCUGUGGAACACAAAACAGCUCUUUUCCAUUUUGCAUCCUCUCCUCCUACGCUAGUUCAAAAGGAACCUAGCUACAUUAUUAUAUCUGUUCAGGCAAUCCACAUUCCAUGCUUUUACCUUGUGAUAAGUUGCAUUCUAUGCUUUUAUUUUGUGAUGAGAGGAGACUCUGUCUUCCUCAGACUUCCAUCCAUAUCCUCUCCACAGUUGGUUUUCAAACAUAAUUAAUGUUAAAACUGUAAUCUAAACACCAUGAACCCAUGGUCUCCAACUUCGCUAUCCUUCAUGAUUUUUUGCGAGUAUUCCAUGGAUUGUUUUCGCAUGGGCAACUCCACCUAUUCCAGUAUAACAUAAUUUAAAAUGAAUGAGAAAUCUUGGCCGCGGACAUUGUUUUGAGAAAAACCAAAGAUUAUGCUUCAUCAGGUCAUCAUACACUGGGUAGGACAAAAUUAAAAAUGGCAAUAUCACCACAAAUCAUGAUUUCCAUUUAACUAGAAAGUAAAUGAACUUCAUUUUCCACUAUUGGUGGCUAAAAUGAGAAAUAUACAAACUGAUUUUGUGGACUCUAUAUCUCCUGCACUUGCACAAGCUCAAGUGCAAGAACCUCAACUUGUCACCAUCUGGAUCAAGAUACAACUUGCAAGCUAAUAUAAGGAAGGCUCAAAAUAUGCAUGAAAUAAAAGAAAUGAAGAAAAAGAAUAACAAAUUACAUAAUGUGCUUUGUAUAAAUCUCUUCAGCUUCCCCAGGAUCCUCUUCCGAUCUGUAGGAGAGAUGCAUAUAGUAACUCGUUCCAAGUAUCUGGUACUCCAGGCAAGCACCAAUGGCUGCAAUCCUGAGAGUGCACAGCUGCAAUCUCUUCUUCUACUGUCUUGUAUUCUUUUCUGUAAAUAGAAGGGUGCCCAUCUUUUCGAUAAUCUGUAAGCCUACUUACAUUUAGGUAUGUUACCGGUGUUCUCAUCAUCUGGAGCACAGGCUCUAGAGCUCUCAUUUUUGAAGGGUACUUUCGUAUGAAAGCCUCAUUAAAGAUUGGCUCCACUUCUUUGUGACACUGUCCUCCUGAGUUCCAUUGGCCUCCUCUGCAACCACAUCAAACAUGUAAGAAACCCUUUUUCCACAGCUAGUCACAUGGUACAGAUAUGAAUUUCUUUCCCUUUUUAACUGAGCCAUUUACAUAUCCAUAAUCCACAUAUCAUCCAUCAUAUUACAGGGCCUAUAAAAUCCAAAGAAUGAAGAACAAAUUUUUGGACAAGUUUUUAGCCUAUGGUUGUAAACCAGCAUUAAAUGGCUCAAAUUAUUACUUUACACUUCCUUCCCAGAUGUUACAGUCAGUGCUAAUCACUACAGUAUUUAAAACAGGUUUCACAACUCUGAUUUUCCACAAUAUAUGAGUUCCACGCAUUGUACUGAUCUAUAUCACUUGCUUUUGCAUUUGCUAAUAUAUUUGAAGUUUACAACUGUGGAUUUGGUAGAGUCAAAUGUAUAACUAAAAAAUUCCAAACAAAGUCAAAGCUAUUUGUAAAUAUUCUCUUGUAGUUAGAUUUGCAAGAAAAGGUCACGUGAAGAGGAGAGGGGUGGGGGUUAGGUUGGUUCAAAAUAGAAAAGCCAAGUCAGUAUUGGUUGAAAACACAGUUAAGAUUAUUAGCCUUAUUUGUUAGCUAACUUGAUAUAGAUCGUUGACCUAUUACCUAAUAACCUAAGCUUUUGGGUUAAAAUGAUAGCUUAAUAAAGUGUUAAAGCCUUGAUUUCUCUAUGUUUUGGGUUCAGACCUUCCCACUUGCUUAUUCCUUAAUUUUUCUGAACUAAUGUUCAGGAGGAGGCCACAGAUGAGGCUAGACAUUUUUAGGUUUAAGCCAACAGUAACAGCUUUAAGCAAGCCUCAGAGCUAUGAAUCUAAUUAAGCUACUGUAAGCUGAACUUGAGGCAUUUUAUUAAUUUUGCUUCAUGUGUCACCAAGGUGGCAACAUUUCCAUGAUUAUAUAAAAUGCUGAAAUACACACUCUUCUCUUAACAGCCAAUAACCAUAUCACCAAGGCAUAAAGUACACUUCAGAAUUCAGUUAUUUAAGAACAUAUCAAGAACAGAAAAGUAUACUUGACUAGACUACCAAAUCAUUCCAAAGAAAAAUAGAAUUCACAAUGCAAAACUCUCAUCAUAGCAUGCCUCGUGUAUUCCCUGUUGAAAUCCAUCAUUAAAUUUGUUUGUUGACUUGCUUCAUAAAUUUUACCAACAUUGUAUGCUUCUCAAUUAUCCCUCUCUCCUGAAUCUAGAGCUUUUACCACAAGCCCACACCAUUUCUACAAUCAGUACUAUAUGUAAAAAUUAUUCAAUAUUUUCUUUUCAUUAGCAAGCAAGCAUCUCAGAAAGACCAAAACCAGGUCUACCCAAUCUUAUAUUUUGUACGAGAAUAGGUGAUGUAAAGUUAAGUUCCAUGCUGAUCAUUUAGAAUCAUUAAGAUGAUAGGACACAGAAAUUGAAGCAAACAGCAAUAAUAACUUGAGAGUAGAGGGUUUUUCACAAGAGAGUCGAUUCAGAGUGUUCCUUACUUGAAAUGGGUGAUUGAAUAUCCUCUGAAGAAAACCUGAGUCAUGUUGCUAUUGAUGUUCUUGUCAACCCACCUUGCCCAAGUUGUAAGGGCCUUUGUGUAUGCUUUAAGGACCUUCAGUCUUGGGUGCACAUAGUUGCCCUCUUGGUAAUAGUAUUCUCUGUGAAAUUAGCAAAUGCAAACCAAGAACCUUAAUUUCUUGAAAGGAAUGCAACCUAAAAUCAGAUAUGAUGGACAGCAACAUAGAAUGCAAAAAUUCUAACAAAGGUCAUUGUGAAUCUAAUUCCUGUUCAGUUUAAAGUUGGUUUCAAUUCUCAUUUUUCCUCCAGAUUACAGAACUAACAACUCAUACAAGGUUUUAGGUUUAUUUCAUACCAGAAUGUAGGUUGUAGAGAAAAAAAGGAGAAAGGUAUUGCAGCAGAGUGAGGAAACUCACCCUCUAGAUGUUUUCUCAUGAGUCCACCAAUGGCCUGUAUUGAAGACUAUGAUAUCAGCAUCAUGAAAUGUCGUAGUUGAUUUGUCCAUCUCAUCCAGUCUUAGUGUCUCAAACGUUCUGUUUCUACCGUUAAAAGAUGAUUCUUGAACAAGAAAUGGAGCAUUGACAAAAUCCACAGAACAAUUAUAGUCCUACAAAUCCAGCAAAUACAAGGCCAAUUAGGUAUAUGAAAACAAGAGAAAGAUUAUGUAACAAUAGACAAAUUUAUACCAGAAACUUGCCUCAAAUCUGAAAGCAUAAAAUCCCUUCUUUUUGAAUUCCUUUCUUCCAGAAAUCUCAUAAACUCUUUUUUUGUCUUCGACACUAUGACGGAGAAUGCAUACCAUAGACUCCCACAUGUUCCUGUUUAGAGAAUCUCCCACAAAAAUGAGCUUCUUCCCUCUUAAUCUCUCCAGGAAAUCAGUUGCAUUUAGACUGAGGAUAGCAUUUGUCAUCAAAAGAGAACUAGUUAAAAAUUCUUGUAAAAUAACUAGAAAAUAUUCACAAUACGAAAACACAUAUAUCAAAAGAGACUGAACCUUACUGCUCUCCAAAUUGUUAACAUACUAUUCUACAACUAAUGAUUCAGAAUUUUAACAUUUCAAUAUUUUGGUCUCUAAACCCAUUAGUAAAGUUAAUUCAUAGGUUCGAAGAUUGAGGAAUGCAACAAACCAGUAGUGCCCUUCUCACAAUUUUCAUGACCUAAACAAUAUGCAACAAUCAAGGUUCUUCCCCAAUUCCUGCAUUCUAUUACAUAUUUUAGCUUCAUCACUUUUCAAUGACUUUGACGAUGAUAGUCAGUUAGGGGACACUAGAUUUUAACAUCACCUUGAAGACAAUUCCUAACUUUAUUUAACUCAAGUUUCCUAUUAACAAAUUCAAAUGAGCUUCACACUUCUACCAUUCUACAGAAACUUGGUCUCACUUUGUUCAAUGAUCAUUCUUUACAGAAAACAUAGGAAAUUUAUACUUAAUAUUCAUUAUUUAUCUAUUUUAAUAUUACUCUGAAUGCAUCUGAAAUAGAUCUCACCUCGGGAUGUCACACCCAUUCGGCUGCCAUCUCCAUUUCAAAUAAUCAUCAUCCGGCCUUCCAUUAAGGUGACAAUCGAAAUCCCUAUCGAUGUAAGGACAAGACCCAGCAGGAUAGUAUGGCUUUGAAUCAUCCCUUACCCAUCUACCAUCAAAUAUAUCACAACCCCCAUAAAAACUGUUUGGCAUUUUCUUAAGUUGUGAAUGGUAGUGAGUGGCUGUAAUUUUGUUAUUCGUGGUCGCUUUUCCUGCAUCAUUCCCCGCCGUCCCGCUUUCUUCUUCAGUGGGAGGUUUGGUAUAUUCCCCACUAUAUGACAAAUUCCCUACAUUGUUAUUUUCAGCGACAAAAAUUUUCCCAUCACUGGUAUUCCCUCCAAGACCGGUUUUCCCAAUGACAGUUCCUUCUUCACCAGGGGAACUUCCAUUAUUCACCAUCUCAGAGGAAUUCCCCAAAAUUGCCAUAUCUGAAGUCAUACCUUCCACAUUAGAAUUCGAAAGACUUGCCUUUGUGGCAGUGCCUGAGGCAUCUGCAUGCGUUGUUUCUGGAAUCCAUCCUCCAUCAACAGUAAAGCUCCCAUUUUUCACCAUCUCAGAGGUGUUCCCCAAGUGGGUCUUCUCCAAAACAAUGCCCAGAGGAUCUCCAUCUUUAUCCAUCCCUGAUAGACUUGCUUGAGGGGUGCUGUCCACAACCCUUCCAUCCUCAGUUCCCUGCUUAAAAUCCGCAGAGUCGUGGAAAUCUAAAGUAGCAUUAGUGGGACUAGCAGUAGAAGAAGAAGUACUUGAAAACGAAAAGGACCAUGAAGCAAGAGAGGAAUUACUAGCACCAAAAUUGCUGAACCCUCGAAACAUUGGAACAUUGAAAGAGGUGUUGAACGAUACAAUAGUUAGAACAAUGAGUGAAGCUCCUAAGCCCAAAGCAAAACCAGAAACUACUUUCCUUUUCGGUGAUAGAAUCUGCUCCGAAAACCCAAGCUUUUUCCAUUCCAUUGGUGGACAAUCGCAUACCCCUUCAGAGGCAAGGUUUGAAAGUAAAGGCAGUGGGAUGACAGCAACAAUAUUUGAAAGAACGUGGACAGCCUAGGGCGAUUGCGAGACGGAGACGGAAACGGAGAAAUGACCUUUUUUCCCUAGAAGGCUUAUAGCAAGAGGGUACUGGAAACCGUAACCUGGUCUGAUUACAAGGAUGCCGUCUAUUGAUAAUUACUUCAAGCCCAAAAAUACCCAUUUUGGUUUUAUCUAAUUCAAACUCAUAAUCACCACAUUCUAACGCCACUCUGGAUUUGGAUGUUGAACAGUCCUUUGGACGCUGGAUGCUUUCAAAAGGGUGAAAUACUAAAAUAAAAAAUAUAUUAAUUUAUUUUUGUUACUUAAUCCAAAUUCCCACCCUGAUCGUAAUCUUCUUCCUCAAACAUCCUUAGCUGUUUUGGAAAAAUAAAUAAAUAAAUAGAUAAAUAAAGAGAAAAUAGAAAGAGAGAUUAUGGCCAAUCAUCGACUCUCAAGGAGGAUUGUUUACUUAAAUUAACAAUUGUUCUUUAACGAGAAGCCACCUCCUUAACUAGAUGUCCAACUUUAAAUUAUAAGUUCAUAUCCAAUAGUUUCCAAAUAUCAGAAUUGAAGUCAUAUAUAAGUUUGGACUCCAACAAAGUGAAAAGGAAGCUAAUGAGCGUGAUUAAUGGGGGCCAGUUCCAAGGGCAAUCUCCCAUUAUUAUUAUAUGGAGAAGAAUUGGCAGCCCCGCCGACACAUAUACUGGGCCAUGUGGCCUUCUCACGACCUCAAAAGCCCACCGAGUGGGAAUAAUUGAUGUAAGGUCGUCUUAGAAGGAUAUCAGAUAAUGAUAGACAAAACAAUCCCUUCAACUUAUUUUUAUUUCUAUUCUACCACUCUUCACAUACCAACACCAAUAAACUCAUCUUUAUUUACCCAUUUUUGGAUUUUUCAUUGUUUUUCAAAACUCUUUUAUAAAUAAUUGAAAAAUCAACAUUAUUUUUUAUUUUUAAAUUAUAAAUAAAUAAAAAUUAUAUUAAUGAUUCAAAAACUAUUUUAGAAAAUAAUUCCUAAAAAAAUGUUAAUUUAAAUAAAUAAAAAUUAUCUUUUAUAUCUUAGAAAUAAAUAAUUUAAUGAUUAAAACACUAUUAAAAUAAAUAUAUUCAGUAUUUUUUUUCAUUUUAUACUAAAAAUUAUUUCAAAGCUUAUUAUUUUUUUAAUAUUAUAAAAUAAAAAGUUUCAAUUUUCUCUUAAUCUUCUUCUUUUCUUAUUUCAAUAACUUUUUGAACAUAACUUUGGUAAUAAGUUAUAUGAAAUGUUAUAAAUUUAUUUAUUAAUGAUUUUUUUAACUUAUUUGAAUCAAUUGAAAAUUUAUCAAAAUAAAAAAAGAAAAAGAAAGAAAGAGGAUGAAUAGAGAGUUUUUAUUUUAAAUAUUCAAUUAAAAUAUUUUUCGUAUUACCUAUUAUAUCAAUAUAUGGUAUACUAAAUAUUGAAAUUUUCUUAUACAAAAAGGUUGAACUCGUUUUAGAUAAAAACAAGUAAUUAAAAAUUAUAUAGAUUAUAUUUGAAUUUAAUUUUAAAACAUUUUUCUAGUUUUUAUCUUUUUUAUUUUUAAAAAUCAUUUUUAUUUUCUAUAUUGUCUCUUUUUGAAAAUACGUGUAAUUAAAAAAUGAAAACUAUUUUUAAAAAUGAAAAUUGAAAACUUUGUUGAGUACUAGUUUUUUUAUAUCAAAAUGAUAAAAAGAAUUAAAUUUCAUUUACUAAUUAUUCUUUUUCAUUUUUUCUAUUAGUUAUUUUAAUAAUAAAAUAAAGAAAAUAUAAUAUGUUCACAAUUAAACAAAAAAAUUGACUAAUUGUGUAUUUUUUUAUAAAAUAUAAUAUAUUUACCAAAAAAAGUCGAAUUUAAGUUUUUUGUUAUUUUCUCAACCAAACUACUGAAAUAGUGUUUAAUGUACUUAUAGGUAUGCAUUCAUUGCAGGGAUAUGGAAUUUGUGCAACUAUACAAGGAAUGGUAUUCACUAACUAUACAAAGGGCAUACAAGACUACUCUUUGUGAAAUAUUUUAAUCGAUUUUAAACCACUCCUUCAUUUUUCUUGUCACUCAUAUUAUACACCCAUGUCAUACACUUUAUUUAACUCCCACAUGGAAAUUCUAAUACUUUCCCUAAUAAUGAUGUUUGGGAAAAAAAAAAAUUGACCCUAAGUCAUUCAUCAUUUUUUUAACCAAAUCAUUGAAAACAUGAUUAAUAUACACCUUCAUGGACACACAACUUAGAAAAGAUAUGAAAUCUGUACCUCUGUACAAUUGUAUUACACUAAUUGUACAAUGAAAAUGUACAAGAGCGUACAAAGCUACCAUUUGUGAAAUAUUUUAAUCAAUUUUGAACCACUCUUUUAUAUUUUCCUUAUUACUCAUGGAUUGUACACUCAUGACAUACACUUUAUUUUACUUUCACAUGAAAAUUUCAAUACUUUUCUCAGUAAUGAUGUUUAGGGAAAAAAAUUUGAUCCUAAGUCAUCUAACAUUUUUUCAACCAAACCAUUAAAAACAUGAUUAAUACACCUACGUGGACACAUAACUUAAUAGAGAUAUGAAAUUUAUGUCAUUGUACAAGGAUAGUACACUAACUAUAUAAGAGAAAUAUACUAAGUGUAUAAGGGUGUACAAAGUUAUCAUUUGUGAAAAAUUUUAAUCAAUUUUAAAUCACUCCUUUAUUUUCCUUGUCACCCAAAAAUUGUACACCCAUGUCAUGCAUUUUACUUUAACUCUCACAUGGAAAUUACAAUGUUUUCUCUAACAAUGAUGUUUGGGGAAAAAAAUUUAACUCUAAGUCAUCCAUCAUUUUCUUAACCAACCCAUUGAAGACAUAAUCAAUACACUUGUAUGGACACAUAACUUAAGAGAGAUAUGAAAUUUGCACCACUGUAGAAGGAAAUCACAUUAAUUGUACAAGGAAAAUGUAUAAAGUGUACAAGGGUGUACAAAGUUCCUAAUAGGUUUUAUACAAUUUUUAAACAACUUGGAGUUUGACAUUAGGACGAUAAUUGAUAGUUUUUUUUUUUUAAUCAAACUAUGUCAUUAAGACCUUCCCUACCAAAAUUAACAUAUGGGAAAUAAAAUUAAAAUUAAUCAUAUUUGAAUUAUUCAUUAUAAGUAAACUAAAUGAAAUAUAUAUUUUUACUAUUUUACCCUUAUAAACAUAAUUUCACUGUUAUAAGUAGAGAUUAAAAAAUCAUAUUUAAAUGGAAUUAAAAAUAAAUAAAAAUUAUUUUUGUAACUUUUUUAUUUUUUAAAAUCAUUAAUUUAAAUUAUGAAAUUAGUUUUAAAAUUAAAAAUAUUUGUUGUAAUUAUAGUUUUGAAGAUUUCAUGAUUUUUAUCUUAUUACUUUAAAAAAAAUUGUUUUAAUAAAAAAAUAUUUACUUUAAUGGUUUUAAAUAUUUAAAUCUUUAUUUUAAAAUAUUUAGGAUUAGUGUGAGAAACAAUUUGGUAAUUUUGGAAGGGAGAAAUUUUGAAUAUCUUGAAGUGCAUGUGAGUGUUUAUAUUAUUUAAAAUAAUAUGAUAAAUAAUAAACACUAUGUGUCUAAUUUACAAGUUAAAAUAAUAAUAAUAAUAAUAAUAAUAAUAUUUUAGGAGGCAUUUAAAAAUUGUUUAAUAUAAAAGACAAAUAAUGUACGAAAUAUUUAUUAUAUAUUCUAUAAGUUUGAAAAAAAAUUUUGAUGAUGUCUAAUUUGCAAGUUAGAACAAACAAAGAAAACUAAUAUUUUAUGAGGUGUUUAAUAUAUAUGAGAAAUAAUGUAAGUUUGAAAUAAACAAUAAUAUUUAUUUUAUAUUAUAUAACUUUUCAAGGUAUUUAAAAAAAUUUAUUAUAUAUUAUGUAAAUUUAAAAAAAAAAUGAAUAAUAUUUGAUGAGGUAUUUAAAAGUUAUUUACAUAAAAAAUGUAUUUGGUAAUAAUAAUUUUUAAUCAUUUAUUUCUCAUGUUAAAUUUGUUAAAGAAAAAUGAUUGGAAAAUCAUAUAACUUAGUCUCACUAAUAAAUAGAUGAGAGAAGGUGAAAGAAAGAAUGAGAAAGAUAUGUGAUCGGUUACCUUUUCUAUUUAAUAGGCAAUGAUAUUUUAGGGAAUUUUUAAACACAAUAUCCUUCCUUUCAAUUUCUACGACUUUGAAUUUAAAUAUGGGCAAUAAAAUGACCUUGGGCUAAUUAUCAGCCCAACUAACCCAAAACACAAUUCUCCCUUUUUUAGAUUAGCUUCUCCAUUUCACCAGGGAAGUCGUAUUGAGCAAGACGGUUAGGAGUAGGGAGUCGUAACCGCGAUCCCAGAUAAAACAACGCUUUCUUUGGUACGGGCUGCACACAUUUAUGGCCGAUAGGACGGAUCUGUGGGAACCUAUCAAUGGAAACGAUGAAUUGUUGAUCGAGAAAUGCAGUAGAUCCAUCGUCCAUGCCUUGGGCGGCCACCAAUUGGCCCCAUGCGCCUUUCCCCAGAGACUGUAGCGAUCGAUAGUUGGGUCAUUUUAUUUCUAGGUAAAGAAAGGAGUGGGGAGGGGGGAGGGAGCCUUACCCCAUUAUUAGUCCAUGCGACUCCUUGAUUGGGGCAUCAAAAAAAUAUGUGCAGAAUAAAUGUUCGCAAAUCCCUGAGCACAAGAAACGAGUGUGGAAGAAAAGAGAAAGAACCAUUUACACAACAAAGAUACUUAAAAGAUCAUAUCCCCAUUUUGCAUAUGAUGAGAUGGAGAGUUACAUAUAAUAUUUCCAUUACCACAAAACAGGAUUAAGGUUUGUGGGGAUGUGGUUGAGCACUUGAGCUUUGUUGAAGGUAUUAGUGUCCAUGAGGUCGUGCUGAGCUGAGUCGGUCCUAUUCCCACACUUGGACGAGUUGCAUCAAAUCUUCUGGCAGUUCCCAUCUGCUACAUUAUGAUCAAUGGGAUGUUUUGAUUUGUGGGAGAGUUAAUUAGGUAGAUAUUUUCAGAGAUAGAAAAAUUUUGGAAGAUUUACAAUCAACCCAAUCAAUCUUCCAACAAAGAACCAGAUGCUUAUACAUAUGACUUUCCUUUUCUUUACAGUUGAAUACAUGCAACUCAACAGCUAUCAACACCAAUCACAUAUAUCUCACUUGAAGCUCUCUCCAACUACUUACCAAUGUAAAAAGGGGAGUAGGGAUUUGGGGGAGACACGAGAAAAAUGGAUGUCACCUGGGACCUGAAAGCUCCAUUGCUUCAAUCACCAGGGAGGAUUCUUCUAUGUAAUCUGAAUAUCUUUGGGGAGGAUUUUCACAUGACCUGAACCUUGGAGUCUCAACCUUCUGCGAGGCCUCCCAUUUCUCUGCUAAACCAUCACCUUCCAACAUCCUCAAUAUUUCCGACAUUUUUGGGCGGUGAGAAGGAUUAAAUUGAGUGCAUAAAAGGGCAACUUUAACCAUUUCUUCUAAUUCAACCCUGUCAAAAUUGUUCUUUAAAUCUUUAUCCACCAUCAGGUUGAGCUUUCCCUCUUGAUGGAGCUUCUUUACCUGCACACAAGUCCAACUAUUAUUUAAGAUGAUUUAUUGAUCACAGGAAUGAAAGAAAAUAUAUCUAUACAGCCUUGUAGAGAAGAAUGGUUAGCAUUUAUGUAAAUCAAGGAAAAUGGAUUUUCUCUAUGGAGGGAACUGUAAGAUCUCAUACACCAAAAGACACUGGUUUGGCUCAUUCCAGCAUUCAUCAUAGCAUAAAAAAUUGCUAGUCAUCACAUAAAACAGGCAGAGAGAGUGAGAGAGAGAGAGAGAGAGAGAUUACCCAAUCAAGCAUUACUCCUUUCUGGUUUGCCGCCCGUCCAAAAUCCAAAGCCUUCUGACCUGUGAUUAGUUCAAGGAGCAAGAUUCCAAACCCAAACACAUCUGUCUUUUCUGAUGACUGACCUGUUGACAAGUAUUCAGGAGCAAUGUGGCCAACAGUGCCCCGCACUGCUGUGGUCACAUGUGACUCUCUAUGAUCCAACAGUUUUGCCAACCCGAAAUCUCCAACAACUGCUUCAAAGUCUUCAUCCAGCAAAAUGUUGGCUGCCUUGACAUCACGGUGGAUAAUUUUGGGGUCACACUGCUCAUGCAAAUAAAGUAGCCCCCUUGCUGUGCCUAAAGCUAUCCUCUUUCGCCUUGACCAGUCUAACGCUGGCCUGCCAUGGAUUUGAUCUGAGAUGAAAACCCACAAUUGAUGAAGUUAGUCCACCACCUUGCACAGAUGCCAGAUCCUGGCAAAAUCUAUUACCUAAGAAAAGAGUUAGAAACACUAUUGAAAAAUUGGAAGAUCAAAUAUAAUUUUCCAUGAAAUAAUUUCUUCAAUAGCUUAGAGCUUGGAAUAUGUCAAUUUGCUGGCUUAAUAAGCAUCAACCUGGCUUAAAACCAGUAUCAAAUGAUGGAAGGAAUGAGAAAAAGUAGUUGACAUAACAAGACAACACUGGGGGAAUACACCAAUAGUUCAAGCAAUAAGCUUAGAACAUGUUUGGGAAUUCAAGGAAGAAUAAUUUCUAUCGAACUUCAACCAUAAGCUUCUGCUUGCAGUAGACACUUUUACAAGGCUGCAGUGAAUGCAUGGGAAUGGAAUUGGUGCAAAAUUAAAUACAAUGAAAUUUGGAUAUCAUUGAAUAAAAUCUCACAAAAUUUGAAAAUUUAUUGUUCAAUGAAUGUACUGAAUAUUAAAUGGUGGUGUAACUGGCAUGGUGGUGAGGUGUGGGUGAUUGCUGUUCCAGGGAAGCCCACGGGGCCAGUGGUUGUGCAUAAUAAGGGGGUCAUAGCAGGUGUGGCAGCAUCACAGGAGGUUAAUGCUAUCAUUCUAUAGAGGUUCCAGAGGCAGAACCAGGGUGUAACCUUAUGGAUGUGGUAGUGAUCUUGUUAAGGUACCAAUGGUGACACAGGCGUUCUCAAUCAGAAAAGUACUGGAAGUGGUAAAGGUGGGUUUGAUCGUGAUAGCAGAGGUGGCCAGAGCAGCAGUGGUGAAGGAAACAGAGUUAGCAAUGAUCUGCUAAAUUAGAUUGUGUGACAACUGCACUAGUAAUAUCAACUAUCAAAAUGGUGUAGAAAUUCAAAGUGAAUUUUCUAAUUAAUCCAACUUCAGGAACCACAAAAAUAAAAUAAAAAAAAAUAAAAUAAAAAAAUAAAAUAAAAAUCUGUCCUGUGACACGAUCUUCCUUUCUUCAAUUCCAGAUAAAAGUUAUAUAAUUCCAAAUUAUCCCUUUCUAUGGACCCAAAAAGAGAGGGAAAACAAGGAAUAUUUGGAUGGGUUCAAUUCUAUUUUCAUUUUCACCUCUGAAUUCUCAUUCAAAUACAUUUUUUGUCCUAGCUCAAUUAUUUGUUGAUGACAAUUGCUUUAUUGUAGUUAUUUUCUACUGGCAUAAAUCAGGAAUUUCCAGGAAAAAAAAGAAGAGUUUAAGAAGUCCUUUUUUUUUUGGCAAUUUACAUACACAUUUUAAGUUUGCAAGAUCAGCAUUCAGCACUCACAUAAAUUUAAAAUGUUUCGUUAUAAAUCCUUUUACUGAGUACAAUAACAUUUAAAAUAUUUUGUUAUAAAUCGUUUUACUGGGUAUGAAAACCUGGAAUCUGUACUUCUCCAGAGCUGCCACUGAAACCAGCAAGAUUCUUCAGCAUCAAGACUGGAUAUGUCACCAAAUUCACAGAAAGAGUAUAACAGGACUUUGACCAAAAUAAACUAACCACUAACUACUAAAGGAUAGUCAGCUAACCUCUUAAUCGAGAUGCUACACUCCCAUUAGGCAUAUAGGGGUAAACAAGGAGCCGCUCGCUCUCUGUUGUACAGAAUCCACAAAGCCGGAGAAGAUUCCGAUGGACAGCCAAACUUAUCAUCUCAACUUCUGUUUGAAAUUGGAUUUCACCACCUACGGCAUUAUAGUCUUUCAGCCUUUUAACAGCCACCAGAGUUCUAUCAUUUAAGCAACCCUUGUAUACAAUUCCAAAUCCACCCCUUCCUAAAAUAUUCUUUGGGUUGAAAUGAUCUGUUGCAGCCCUAAGUUCCUUAAAUGUAUACCUCCUCAGAUGGCCCAAGCGUACCUCUGGGUCAUAUUGAUCUGCCAUGGAACAUGUCAUGGUUAAAGCAUGCAUAAGCACAAAAAUGGGUACAGAUGGAGAUAGCAUUACUUACAUACACAAUAAGAUUAACCACAACUUAUGUGGAUGAGUAUGUUUGUGUACAGAGGAAAAAAAAAAAGGAAACAAAUAUCCAUACUUGAAGAUGCAUAAAAGGCCUAUUUGGGAGUGAUUCUUAUGAAAGCACUUUUACCUUAUAGCACUUCUAUCAGUAACACUUUUACUAGAAAAACUUUUAUGGAGAAUUGGUUAAUGUUUGGAUAUAAAAUGAAAAGGUAUUUUGUAAGUGUCUUUGGUAAAAUAUUAUACAUAAAAAAUAAAAAAUAAAGGUGGUGUUUGGAUGUAUUUGCUAUUUUAUGUUUUUAAAAGUAGAAAGUCUUGUACAAAAUGUAGGAAUUCUUAUACUAAAAGUAGUAUAUACCUUGUGUACUUGAAAAUACUUUUAAAAUUUUAAAAAUUCAAGUAAAAAAUUCAGUUCUUCAAAUUUUUAAAAACAUUUUUGAGAAUACAAGGUAAUUUUUUUGCGUUUUGUAUAGGAAUUUUUAUAUUUUGUAUAGAAGUUUCUAUUUUUAAGAAUAAAAACUAGGAAGUUUACCUGAACACCGCCAAAGCGAUUUUUUGGAAGAAGGACCUCCCAAGUGCUAGUCCAAAAAUCAUUUCAAAUGAUUCUCUGGGAAUUAAAAGUGAUUUUUAAAAAAUCUUUGCCAAAUGCCCUUUUUUUUAACACAACCACACUACCAAGCAUUGAGAAGCACUUCUAACACUUCAAUAAUCACUCCAAACAGACUGUAAACAACAAACUAGAUAAGGAUUACCAAAUUAUAUAAUGGUUUCAAAAGCAUGAUGAUUUAAAAAAUGUUUGAAACACAAGAAAUGAAGUAAUGUUGGGAAAACAUGCAAAAACACAGAAAGAAAUUCAGAAGGGGCAUCUAUGUUGAAAAUUUUCAAGUGCUUCAUUUGUACCUUCAUUUUUUUAAAAAAAACUCUGACUGAAACUUUUAACUUAAAACAUUUUCCAACAAAACAGGUGUGCAUGCACACACAUACAGGCCUGCUCAUGGCAAAUGAUAUUGCAAACCAUUAAACAUCAGUCUCCAAUAAAGGGGACACUAACUGUAGUAUUGCACCAGGACCUACUUGUUUGGUCCUUAACGUAUGUCAGUCAUAAGAUGUUAGAUUAUCUUCAUUUGCUGAUACAGAACAAUAAGAAAGGAAAUGCAAAAGAAAUUUGAAGAACUAACCAUUAACAUCAAAGAAAAUUUGUUGGUUCCUCCUAUAUCGCCACCAAACUGACAGCCCAACAAUAAUUAUGAUUAAAAGAGCAGCACCAAAACUUGCACCAAACGCAAUAGCCACACGGUGGCUCUUAGAUCCAGAAUCUGAAUGAGCUAGCAAACCAAAGAUCCCAGAAAUGUGGAACGUGUCAUCCAAUUAUUAAGGAAAAUAAAAGGCUAACUGAUGAAAAAGCAACAUCUAUAACCUGUGAUAGCUACCUCUUAGAGCAUCUGGAGGAAAAGAAAGUGGCUCUGGAGAGAUUGCAGAACAGUUGUUUGUGGCAUUGGCACCACAAAGUGAAGGGUUACCAAUAAUUCUGUUAAUGAAAAGAGGCAAAAGGCUAGCUUCAAUGAUCAUAGAUAGCAACUCAUAAUGGAACUAAGCAGCAUAAAAAAAGAGAGUGUAUAGCUCACUUGAAGGUUCUUGCAGAUAUUUUUGGCAUGGAACCACUCAGAUUAUUAAAAGAAAGGUCACUGCAAGCAAAUUUAACUUGUUGAAUGGAUGUGUAUGGAAUUAAUUAUAAACUAGCUCUGUUCUUUUUCAUAUAACAUGCAAAUAAAACAGUGUACCAAAUGGCGCAAAGUUCUGAAGACAUACACGAGGGAGAGGCCUUCAACCUGGGAAAGAGACUCAGGGCAUGGUCCAGUAAGGCUGUUGUUGUUUAGUCGCCUGACUUGCUCAAGAGAAAACAAUGCAAAACACGUAAGAUUGGUACAAACCCAAAAAAUAGACAUGUUCUGCAUUUGUCUAAUGGCAGUUUAAGAUCAGUGAAAUACCAAAGACAUCAGAAAGUUUCUGAAACUUACAAAUAAUUCAGUUUCUUAAGUCCCCCCAAAGAACUGGGUAUUCCACCAUCAAAUUUAUUGUGGGAGAGAUCAAGUGUCUCAAGCUUUUCCAACUUCCCAAUUGAAUCAGGAAUAGGACCAGAAAUGGCAUUAUUCUGCAGCAACCUACACACAUGCAUGAUUAUCAAUUUUGAUAUUAUUGUACUGUUUAUUUCACAAUCAAAAGUCUGAGAACUCAAAACCAUCCCUGCCGCAAACAAUAUUUGAAAUUAAAGCCAAUAACAUGCAAAACUUAACCCAGCUGCAGGAGAAAAAAAAAAAAAACACUGCUUAAGCCUCAAUAAUCAUUAAAAAAGAAAAAGGUGGUAGUGACCUACACAGAUUGCAAGUUGGUGAGGUUCCCAAUCCAUGGAGAUAAGGUUCCAGACAAACUUUGACUGGGCAGCCCCCUGAUUGGAAAAUUAAUUCUCAACUAAGAAUUGAGUUCAAAUCUAGAAAUUGAAUAAUAUUUCUAUUCAUUUUCUGUUCAUAUUCCUCUAUCAAUGAUCUUGUUUGAAGAAGUAAGAGAUAGACUGAUUAGAACAUCUUACAGAGCAGAAACAUAGCCGUCGGAAGAGCAAGUAACCAUCCUCCAGCUACAAGGAUCCACUGAAUUAAUAUCCCAGUUCUCCAAAACAUUAUAUGGGUCAUUCAGAUUAUUUUUUAUAGUCAUCAAAGCUACAACUGCAUCAGAUUCAAAAAAAAAAGUGAGAAAGAAAAUCAGAACCCAGGUUUUGAAGCCAUGACUGUAUUAUACUGAUAAAACCAAAAAAUGAGAUAUGAAACCCAAAAUUUUAAUAAUGCUAAAUUGUGGUUUGCUUGAAUAUUCUUGCGGACCAUCAAAACAUUAACCAGAGGAGAAAAAGAAUCCCCAACUUCCUACAAAGGGGGAAAAGGUUUGUCCAUAACCAUUUCGUGAUAAGAAAUGAACUUUAUUCUUCAAAGGGGAAAAAAAACUCAAUUAAUAAUCUCAGAUUUUACAAUUCUAAUGAACAACAUUGUUUUCUUUCGCACAAUAUGAAGAUAAUUCAAAAAAUAAAGAAAUAAAAAAGGAAAAACUAAACCAAGAGAAACAAACCUUCAUAGUUGAUACCAGAAGGAGAAAGAGUAGCAGAAGAACCCUCCAUCAAUGUCAAAAGCAGUAAUCCGACUCCCCACAACACAUAGCCCCUGCUUUCCAUAUUCUUUCUUCAGCUCGGUAACUCUUAACUUCUUUCCACAAUCAGGACCGACUUCUCAAAUCCACCAUAACCAACAAACACCCACAUAAAAUUUCUCUAUAUCACCUUACAGGAAAAUCUUUUGCUUCAAGAAAAAAAAAAAAAAAAAAAGGCUCUCACAGUCACAACCUCAUAAAGCAAAGCCACCAUUAACACAACGGCAACUCUUCCUUCCAGCUCUUCCCUUGUGACAUACUCGAUUAGUUCCUAGUAGAACUUCAUGAAAACAAAUACCCAGACUAUACAGUCACUCUCUUAUCAAUUCCCAGCUCCCAAACAAUGGCCUAAGUAAAAGAAAACGGAUAUACGAAUCAAACUAAGUGGAAUGAGCACCAUUUGGACUGAGAAAUUCAACAAGAAGAGGAGAAUUUUCUCGAGAAACAAACACCCAUCAAGCCUGAAAUUCUGAGAUCCUAGAGAUCUGAGAAUAGCGGGUUCGAUUCCUAUACAUUUUAUCCGAUCCCCACAAAUUCCAUGUAGGCUUGCUGUUGGUUUUUAGCCCUGCCUUCUUCGUCCCCAGUGAUUCCACCACCAUAUCUUCUUUCAGCAGAGAGAAAAAGAAAACAAGAAAAUAACAGAAAAAUCACAUCUCACAGAAACAACCAAACACACAAGGGCCAAAAUAAAAGGCCAAAGUGGUCACAGAUAAAGAUGCACACACCCAGUAAAAAGAUUUUGAAAAAAAAUAAUAGAAAAUUUAUUUUGAUGAAUUUAAUUUAAUUUUCACUCAGUGAUUGGACUGAAUAGAUGUAUGGGAUUGAUCAGAGGGAACAAUGGCAUGUCCAAGCCAAAAGAAAAGUUUGCAGGUAAGUUUUCGGCAGGUCACGUGCUUUGGCUGUCUUGGCCUUUGUUGGCUUCUGCCUUCAACAAAUGUUUUUAAAAAGCAUUUUUUUAAAACAAAAAAAAAAAAAGGUGUUUUUGCAGGCGAUGGCCCACACUUUGCUAAAAUGCACCGCAUAUUUUAAAGGUUUGUAUUAAACAAACCCAGUAACCACACUAGAGCAUUGGGCUCCAUUCACCAAAAGUUCUUCCCUGCAGCUUUGCAUCAUUGUUCUGUUGAAUCCCAACUAUUUUUCCUCACUCCUUUUCAGAUAUUAAUUCUCUUUUUGCAUGUUUCAUCAUUAGCUUCUGCAGCAUGAAAAAAGAUUUGGGUCAUCAACCAAAAAGCUUGUUUUCUUUGGAUAUUUCACUCACUGCAUCCCUCUUUUUAAUUACCCCUUUACCCACACACUACUCCCUCUUAAACAUCUCCAUCACAAUUUGUUUUUUCCCUCUCUAAAAACCAAUAAAAUUUUAUUACCAGAAUCUUCUGAAAAUGCAUUUCACCUUGUUAAAAACAGACUGAAGAAAAUAUUUUUGUAGAAAAAAAAAAAAAAAGACUAAUUAAUUGCCACUUGUUUAACUGAUAUAAUGAGGCCACUGGUCCUACUGUAGGGUGUUUGGACAGUCAGUUUUCAUCUACAGUGCGCAGUGGGGAAAGAUGUACUCUGGAAUGUUUUGCUACAAUGCACGGGGAUGGCGCAGUACACACGCUCAUCGAUCAUUUAUAAUUUUAUUCCAUGUUUUAUGAUGAUCGGGAUUAAUCCAACAGCUUGUAUGCAGCGCCACCACUGAUUGAAUUUACCAGAAUAGCCCUGAUGGGCGGGGAAGGAUGAGGAUGAGCGUGUGGGAUUUUGGCACUCCGAUGCCCAACGCUAAAAUGCGCCGCGGUGGUGGCGCUGCCAACGUUUUGUUCCUUUGUUAUUCUUUGUUGGAUACCGUGAGGAAGGAAUCUCUAAAAUGCACCCACCGGGAGACAUGCCUGGUCCACGUGGCUACGUCCACGUCGACAGUGACCAAUUACAUUCCCCUUAAUUCUGCUGCUUAAUUUACAUAACAAUCAACAAUCAUACCCUUCCCACAUCAACGUAUUCGACUUUACAUGCUAAUAUUAUUUUUAAAAUUUAAAUUUUACCUUUAAAUUAAAAAAAUAAAGGAUGUUAACUUUUAUUCAAAAUGGGAAAUUUAAAUAAUAUUUUUACAUUAAUUUUUAUUUAAUUUUCAAAUAAAGAAAAAAAAAAGAGGAGUAAAUAGUUGGGGGAGGGAGGGGCAUAAUUGAGAAAUGGAUGUAAGCUUAAUUAUUAAUUCGGUAGCAUCUAGAUUUGAAUCAAGAUUAAUAAUGAAGGUGCCUUAAUGUGCUCAAAUGCAGAACCCCAAGCCCAAGGGUAUUUUUGUCGCUUUGGGAAAACUAAAUAUGCUCUACUUUAUAGUUUCUGUUUUAUAUUUAUUAUUAUAUUUUCAUGCGCAGUCCUUUAUAUAUUUAUCCCCAAAAUUCCCAUUGAUAUGCUCGGGAAUCGGAAACCCAAACCCAGGGGUAUUUUGGUCGCUUUGGGAAUUACCUUUACCCUCCUAAAAAUACCAUCAUUCGGUAUUUUAAAAAUAUUAGACCAACCCCUUGUUGGAUAUUACCUGGUUAACAAAUAUAAAACAUAAAAAUAAAUUAUAAAUUUUAUUUAUUUAUAAAUUAUGUUUAUUUUAAUAUAAUUAAAAAGUUUAUUUAAUUUUUUACUUUGGUUUCCAUAUUUAAGAAAAAAAAUAGUAUGAAAAUAAAAAAAUAUUUAAAAAAUGGUUUUCUUAUAUUUGAUUUUCAUAAUAAAAAAAAUCAAAUAUAAUAAUAAUUAAUUAAAAUUUUAUGUAUUUUUAAAUUAUUUAAUUUUUAUAUAAUUAAGAAGGGAGAAUUAUCUUUUGGGGGUAGAUGGGCCUCCAAAUUAACAAAAGGUCCAUAUAACUCUUCAAAUUGAGUUGAAUGAUAUGAAAUAGUAACGGACAAAUAUACCCUUUAAGAACACAUAUAAAAUAUUUUAUAAAAUUAAGUUAAAUAAUUUUUUUUUCAAAAAUACUAAAUUAAAUAAAAGUAGUUUUCAAAAAUAUUAAAUUAAAUUAAUGUAUUUAAAAAAAUAUUAAAUUAAAUGUUUUUUUUAAAUAUUAAAUUAAAUAAAUUUAUUUUAAAAAAAUAUUAAAUUAAAUAAAUUUAUUUUAAAAAAUAUUAAAUUACAUAAAAGUAUUUUUUUAAAAUAUUAAAUUAACUAAAAGUAUUUUUCAAAAAUAUUAAUUUUUUUCUCAAAAUCAACAAAUGACAUUUUUGGAAAUACUGAAGGAUGAUAUCCUUCAACUCAAUUUCCAUACUUUCAUUGGGUCUUGGGCUCAAUUUGAAGAGUUAUAUGGACCUUUUGUUAAUUUGAGGUCCAUCUACCCCCAAAACAUAAUUCUCCCAAUUAAGAAAAAUAAGUGACAUGAGUUUGAAAAAAUAUAUAAAAAUAAUUUAUUACAUUUAAAUUUAUUUUUUAUUUUUCUUUAUUUUGUUUUCUUUCAAAUUUUCAAAAAUCAAACAUAACCUAAAUAUUUUAAGAAAAAAUUAUCAUCUUAUGCAAUUAAGGAAGCGAGAUUAUGAAUUUAACCCAUAUUUAUUUAUGGACAUUUGAAUGUAAAAUGAAGAACUGCUUUAGUCAUUCCGCUAUGUACUUUCAUAGAUUAAAUACUAAUAUUUAAAUUGAAUUAAUUAUAUAAUUAUAUCUAGAUAAAUUAAAUAAUGAAUUAUGUAUAUGAUUGAAUUGAAUUUAUAGUAAACAUAAACUAAUGUAAUUAGAAUUAAAUAUACCAUUGAAAUUGAACUAUCUAUAUAAUUGAAUAUACAUUGACUACAAAUUAAUUUAAAUAUGAAACUAACAUUAAAAAUGUUCAAAUUAUUUAAAUUAUUUAAAUUGAAAUGAAUGAACAAUUUAAAUUGAAUUACAAUUACAUUAGUAAUUUAAUAACAUACUUGAAGUAAUUAUCGGGACUUGAUUUGUAGUUAGUACGCUACUUCAACAAAAUUGUUAAAAAUUGGUCAAUUUAUUACUAAUUUAUCGAGAAUUUUCCAUUCAUGCAUAUAAGGUGUCUAAGUUAUCUCUGCUGAUUAUAAAUGUACCAUCUUUAAAAAAAAUUCUAUGAUUUUCAACUGCCAAUUACCAAAGAAUAGGAUUGAGAUUGACUUGUUUGCUUUUUCACCCAUAUGCUAUAAUAUAAUUUUUAUAACAUCAUGAUUUCAUUAACAUUCAUUUCGUAUAUAUUAACUUUCCGCAAAGUGAAAAAGAGAGGGUAGGAAAUAAAUAAACAAUAAUAGCCUGAAAAAGCCUUUUCAAUUUCAACCCACAAUUUGGGUGGAGUUGGAAAUGGCCGUGCGUUUCACGCACCCACCACUUUGAGCUCACAUUCUUGAUCUUGUUUUGGCCAUUGGAUUUUUAUUUCUCUGAAAUAUUUGUACCUCUUUUCAACAACAUUAUUUUAAGUUAAAGAAUUUAAAAAUAAUUUUAUUUUUUAUUUUUUAAAAUAGUAACAUUAAUUAGUUUUUGGUAAAAUAUGAAGAGCAAUCAUAUGAUCAAAUGAUAAAUCACACUCCUUUUUAUUACUAAAGAAUGAUGCUAUUGCGAGUAAAUAUUAUAAAAGUAUAAAACAAACAAAAUUAUAAUUAUAUUUUAAAAUAAAUAAUAAUAUUUUAAAAAUAAAAUAACAAUCAUUCUAUAAUUUUGAGUUAAAAAUAAGGAAAAUUAUGUAAAGGCACACUAAAAAAGUUUUAGAACUUUUAUUUUUAACUUUCAAAAUGCAUGUUUUAGGAGAAAAAUAAUUCUUAAAAUAUGCACUCCAAUGGUUUCAAUAUUACCCUCCAAUUGUUUUGGAGAGAUUGCAUAACACUUGUUUUCGGCAUGGACACCACAAAGUCAAGGGUUACCAAUAAUUAUGUGAAUAAAAGAAGCAAAAGGCUAGCUUCAAUGAUAUAGAUAGCAACUCAUAAUGGAACUAAGUAGUGUAAAAAAAAGAGAAAGUAUAACUCACUUGAAGGUUUUUAUAGAUAUUUUUGGCAUGAAAUCACUGGAAUUAUUAAAAGAAAGGUCAUUGCAAGCAAAUUUAACUUGUUGAAUGGAUGUGUAACAUACAUUACCCUCAAUCAAAGAAGAAUGGUACAUAUUUUCUAUCUCAAUUGUAUUUUCAACAUAUAUUAGUGGUACUUUUUUCAUAAAGAAGUGGUACCCUGUUUUCCAAAAAUUAUAUUGAUCGGUGUUAUUUUACCGUUAUAUAAGAUGUGGAACAUGUAAUGGACAAUAACAUACUCUACAAAGAAGGUGAUACAUUCUUUAUGGAAAAAAAUGUGCUGAAAGUAUUACUGAGAUAGGAAGGAUGUAUUACACUGUUUUGAUUUAGGGUAUGGUAUGUUACCAUCUAUUACAUGUUCUACAUUUUAUGUGACGUGAAAUGCUAGAGAGUUUUUGUAUAAUAACAUUAAUUAACACAAUAAUUAGAUAAGAUGUAUCACUCCUUUAUAAUAAUAAUAAUAAUAAUAAUAAUAAAAACACUUAUGUAUGCUAAAAAUAUCAUUGUGGUUGGAAGAAUGUGUCACAUUUAUUUGGUUUAGGGAAAGAUAUAUUAUUGCAUGUUAUGUGUUCCACGUUUUAUGUAAUGUUGGAAUAACAUGACCGAGUGGAAGUUUUAGUGCAAUAACUUUGAUUGACACAACCCUUGGAAAAUAGGGUCCCAUUCAUUUAUGAAGAAAUAACACUGAUGUGUCUUACAAGUACCAUUAAGGUGAGAAAAAUGUAUUGCGCUUUUGAUUUAGGGCAAGGUAUGUCAUCAUUUGUUAUAUGCUCCACAUUUUAUAUAAUGGUAAAUAAUGUAAAAUGCAUGCAAGUUUUUAUGUAAUAACACCUAUCAAUACAACCAUUGAAAAAGAUACUAUCAUUACUUUAUGACUAAAGUACCAUGUGAGGGUGUAUUAUUUUUUUCUUGGUGUACUUGAGGCUAUGCAAUUUUUUCUUAGUACACGUGAAAGGUGCUCAAUUUUAAUAUGCAAAUUUUUUUAUUCCUAAUAAAAUUAAGUAAAAUUUAAUAAAAAAAUAUUAAAUACAAUUUUUUUAGAAAAAUACAUUUUAUUUUUUAUUUUACAUAAAUAAAAUUUUCCAAAUUUUAACCAAACAAAAGUUUAGAACCAUGGUCCAAGAUUUUAUUUUAUAUAAAUGGAAAAAUUAAACAUUUUAACCGAAUAAAAAGUUAGAAUUACAGUCCAAUUAGAAUUAUAAGUAAAAAGUUAAAACUAUGAUUAUUGAUUUUGAUUUUCACAUGAAAAUUAAAAAUGUAAACAAUAAAAUAAUAUGACAAAGUGUAAACCUUCCAUUUUGUUCCUUAACAUAUAUAUCUAUAUAUAUAUAUAAUCCUUUUUAGUGUAUGUCUAUGAUCUUUCUAGCUUGAUCAUUCAUCACGUCCCACAUUGGUCCGUCUUUGCUCAGCUCAUUGUUCAUUUUUGAGCUACAUUUUGAAGGCCAUUUAGGGGGUUAUUUCGGGUCUUACCUUGAUUUUUAGAGACUCCUUAGGUCUAGACCCGAAGUGAGCUUGUUUGGGUGUCUUACCUUGGGUUUUUAGGCUAGGUCCGACAUUUUAGGAGUUUUAGGGUUUCAGAGCUAUCCUUGGCAGCUUAGCUUUGAAUGAGGGCAAAUGUCCUCUUCCCCUUGUCCGCUUCAUAUAUUUAAAGGUCAUUUUGGCUUCUUAUGAGGGAUCCUUUUGGAGGUUUUGUGGGGAGACAUGUUUCAGAGGGGAUUCUCCUUCUAUUGGGUUUGUUUUAGAGAGAAAAGAGAGAACACUUGAGCAACAAGAAAAUGUUAGAGAGUGAGGAAAGAAACAAGAGAAAGAAGAGUAAAAAAUGAGGAGAGCUUGUUGGGACCUUGUUGGUUUUUGGGAAAGGAAGGGAUAGCUUGAAGCCAAUCAAACUUCUACUUGAGAGGAAGGCUAUCAAAUAUAUUGUUUAUUGUUCUGGUACAUUCAUGUCUUUUCUUAUUUGUUUGUUUAUUUUUCGAUACAUAUCUCGACCAUAGUACAUCAUGAUCAUUACUUGUUGUCCAUUAAUUGAUUAAUCGAUUACCAUGCUUACUUAUCUUGAUUAAUAGAUACUUAUUUUAGGGUUUAGAGGGGUGCUACAGUUUAUCAUCGUAUAUUUUCAAUAAGUAACUUGACUUCCAGAUUCAGACUUUAAAUUUAUCAAAUAAAUAAAUAUUUCAUUAGUAGAAAUAUAUAAAAUCUUAUGUACCUUAUUAUUGUAUUUUAAAGUGUUCAUAAAUUAAUAAAUAUGAAAAGAUGAGAAAGUGAAAAAAACAAAUGAAAUAUAAAAAUUUGUAAAAUGGUAAGGUGUUCAUGAGAAAAUGUGUUUUUAGCAUAUUUUAAAAAAAAAGAGUCAAAAAUGGCAUCACAUUCUAGGUAAAAUGGAGAAAUGGGGAAAAAUAACAAAUAAUGUGACAUUGAUUUGCCCGUGUCUAAGCUUUAAAAAAAGCAACAAAGCAUGAUGAAACUAUUACACCUAUCAUGUCAAGGUAAAAAAAAAAAAAGUUAGGACAGAGAGAAUAGUUGAAGGAUAAUAUGUGAAAUUUUAAUCAUUAUUAUUAUUAGUGAUGGCAUGUUUUAAGAAUUACUUUUCUCACAAAACAUACUAUUUGAAAGUUGAAAGUAAAAGUUUUUUAAAAAAUCGUUUUUAUUUUUUAUUUUUAUUUUUCCUAGUAAUAUACCUUUACAUAGUUUUCCCUUGAAAGCAAGCAAGAAUAUAUAUAUAUAUUAACCGUCCUUCAUUAUACACAUUUUCUACCCAUUAUAAUAGUGUUAAAAAUCAAUCUUCAUUUAAACAUUUCUAGUAUUGAUUGGAUCCAAUUUUGGAUUCCUAAUUAUUUUAAAAAAUUAUUAGACUUAUUAAAUAAUUUAAAACAUUAAAUUUCACAUUACUCUGAUUCUACCUACCUAAUAAGAAAAUUUUAAAAAUAUAACAAGUGUAAUCAUUCUAAAUCAAUUCUAUCCAUUGUUUUUUUUCAUAUUGAUUUAUUUUCAAGUUUGAAACUAUUUUUAAAAACUAUUAUAUUUAUUGGAAAAUUUUGGAAAACUUAUUUUUUAAAAUAAUUCAAAUUAAUUUUUUGAUAGUAAUAGACUAAUUAAAAAAAUAUAAUGCAUUCUAUCUCAAGCAUUAGAUUUGGAAUCCAUUUGGCUUAUGAAUUUCUCAUGACUAAAUUUUUGAGUUUUAAAAAAUUAUUAAGCUUAUCUUCAUAUUUGAGUUUUAAAAAUUAUUAAACUCAUCAAUAAAUUUAAUAUAUUAAAAAAAUAAUAAUAAUAAUUUUAUAUAUAAUCACGGGAUCAGAUAAUACACAAAUCCUUAUCGAGUUUAAAAAAAAAAAAAAAUCCGCCCUUCACUCAUUUAUUUAAAUUUCAAACCCGUCCUGAUAAGGAUGGGUGGAGCAGUUAACCAAAAAUCCCGCCUAUUGGCAUUUUUAGUCAGAGAUGAUAAUUUUUUAUAACAAUUAUUAUUAUUAUUAUUUUUGCAAUUUCAGUAAUUUCCAUUACACGAGUACUUUUUCUUGGAGGGCUACCACAGAGCUGUUUUUCAUUGGUCUCAAAAGCACCUCUGAAUAUGGUUUUGGAUUUGUAGGGCUCAUGUGGCCCCACCCCACCCUUCACAGGCUUUGCCAACACGCAAACCCAUUUUAUAUAUAUAUAUAUAUAUGUGUGUGUUUAGACUUAUUAGGAAAAUAAAAUUUUAAAAAAUUAAUAUAAUAUUAUUGAGGUAGAAAUUCAUUUAUUUUAGCAUACGGGAUAUUCCAAACAAAUAACGAAAAUUGAAAACCGAUUGACGGAGGCCCGUGACAAGUUGACAAUGUACAAGAAUGGCCCACCACUGUGUCCGAGCCACAUGCAAGGCCUUCUUUCCUCUGCCACAGGUCAAACAUCGUGACUCUCCAGUCCCGGCCUUCACAUUAAAAAAUAUCCAUGAAUUAAUAGGAUUAAGGUCCCGUUUUAGCACUAUUUUUGGAAAAAACACUUUUUAGCAUAAAAAUUGUUUUUGGAUAAAAAUAAGAUAUUUAAAAAUAAAAUAAAAAACACUUUUAAUAAUUCAACUAUCACUCAUAGUGUAGACCCCCUCUUUGGCUUUGUUUUUAUAUAUAUAUAUAUAUAUAUAUAUAUAUAUGCAUUUAUAUUUAGCCUUCCUGCCACUUGGGAAGCGCCUGGAGGAUGACAUUUGAAGGGGGGACCGGGCUUCUUGGAGGAGCAGCUGCAUGGAGCACGUGACGAGGCAGGUGGCCCUCUCCAUGGUGGUGGUUGGAGCUUCUGAGGUUGCUGAGCAGGGAAUAGUGGAGUAGCUGAUGGCUUGCGAGUGAAGAUAGGAAAAAAGAGAAGAAGGAAAGAAAAAAACGGGUAGCAGUGGGGAGGAUUCUUUGAAGAAAAAAAAAAGCCUGGAGAAAAGAAGAGAGGAAACGCAAGAGAAGGAGAAGGGAGACCGCUCAGGUUAGAUUACUUUUGUACCCUAGGUUCUCCAUUUUUUUUAUUAUUCAUUUUGUUCUAUUUUCAGCCAUAUCUCACUCCUUCUUGAUAUUUAGAUGUUUCCGGAUUAUUUAACGCGUUAAAUUUGNNNNNNNNNNNNNNNNNNNNNNNNNNNNNNNNUGAUUUAUGUCAUGCGUGUUUGAUUUAUUCUAUCUUUGACAUGCGUACAAGUAUAUGUACAUAUUCAUUGUUCACUGAUCCUGCUUCAUGAUAGCGCAUUUGUUACUGGAGGUCCAGGUACGCACUCAUUCUCAUUUUGAUUAUUCUCUAUGCAUGCUCUUAUUUUCAUAUGUGCAAGUUUGAUUUGAGUAUCUGCUGAUUUCCUCAUUCAUUACCACACCAGCUUCACUUUAUUAGUAGAGACCCGACUUUAGGGACUUAGAGGGGUGCUACGGUUUUUACCGUACCUUCCCGAUAAGUAACCUGACCCCCGAACCCGAUCCGGUUUUUCACAGACCGCCUUUUCCAAAAUAAGGAGUCACACUUAGGGUUUUUCUUUCUUAUUUUGUUUACCCCUUUUAAAAAUAAAACAAAAAUAAGUGGCGACUCCAAGUCAUUUUCUUAAUCAAUAUAAAUCAAAUUUUCAAAUUAAAAUUCGAGCUCGCCAUCGAGUGGGAAACGCAUCGCGCAAUCAAAAUGCGGGGUCCACAAAAUGGCGACUCCACUGGGGAUUGUUUAGAGGGUCAAGCUUGAACUUAGAAUGAAGCAAACGUGGCAUUCGAUUGGACGAUCAGUGGAUGCCCAUUUCUUGAUUGCACAUUGAGGAUAUUUGAUGCAUGCUCGGAUUUUAUAUCCACUUGAGACUUUGACACGUUGAUCGUGUUGAUUGAUUUAUAUUGAUUGAGGAUUCUGAUGCCAUUUUUUUUUCUGUGUUUCAUUGAUAUAUUCGUUUCAGACAUUGACAUGUUGGAUUAUUGAUGAUUGAUCUUAUUGCUUUGCUUAGCACGUUGACCCUGAUUUUGUCAUGAUUGUUCUGAUCACUUUACAUGCAUGCACUCACUACUAUACAUCAUUCGACUCGACAUGCUGAUCCACUUGUUGGUAUAUUAUUUUGAUCAUCUUUGAGCGUGUUGUCUUUGUAUCACUAUCCAUCUGAUUGUCGUAUUCUCGCUUAUCUUGUGUGUGUACAUUGGUGAUAUAUCUGAGAUUUGUUUGAUUGUGUGUUGCAUGACUACUCUCUUUUGCGUGAUUGCGUGCUGCUUAUCUGUGUGGGUCACACGUCUAUCCCCCUACCUCCAAAUCUCUUGGUCUCGGUCAUUCAUUUCAUUUUGGUUCUCGCUUUUGCAAGCGUGAGACCUUCUUUGUGCUUGCUCUCUGACCGAGCCAGAGAUUAGGAGUAGGGUUUAGCGAAGGGUUAUAUCGAUGUACGGGAGCAUUCUGGAGGAGACCGACAUAUCGAUGCUGAUUGGAGUUCGAUCAUUGAAGACCUGUAUAGCCCGGAGCUAGGUUUCAUGGAUAUUUGUGUGACCAGUGUGUUUCAUCUCCUGCUUUAGCUUCUUAGGGUUUCGGAUGCACCCACACCGCUCACUGUGCACUUUAGUUGACUAUUGAGUGCUGAGAGUGUGAGAGCUUUCGCUAUAGGAGCCCCCUGGGAUGUCGAGGUAGUGCAUGUGUGGAGGUGAUGACCACCUUGCAUGGAAGCACCCCGUCUCUUCGGAGGCGUGCAGAGGGUUGCGUACCGCCGGAGGGUAUGAUCGCUUCUGCUAGGGACCUUUAAAAUCCACCCUCAUCCAUCUAGAACCACCUUGACCUUGUAGGUUGAGCCGUAGAUCCUUCGAUUAGGACUCCCUCCCUACACGUGGGUGCAUCUGAGGGCCUUCAGAGCCUCUUUAGUCACAGUUUAGAUUUGACACUUCCUCUUUUUAGUCUCCAGUUGAGAGUGCUCGGAGAUCAGUAUGAAUCUGAGUAUCGGUUGGAUCACCUUUCGUCUUGUCGCCUUAGUUUGUGUUUUUCACUUGAUGAGUUUAGCAUGUUUUCUCCCUAGGGUUUUCGUUCUCAUUUCUUGGCUCGACACACCCCUUCACUUUGUUAUCACUCACAUGAUGCUUUGGGAUAUGUUCAUUGAUCAUCUUUUCGCACUGUACACCUAUCACGAGCCCAAUACCUCAUUCUUUGUUUGAUCCUUGGUUCAAUUUUCGACUCGAUGCUCAUAUUUUCAUUACGGAAAGGUGAAAGGCGCAUUUUUCAUAUCCACACUGUCUUUGAGAGAUUCGCCUUGAUCACCUUAUUAUUUUUCUCUUAUGGAGCUCGAGUUGAAGGUUGAUUCAAGGAUAUAUGUUUAUAGAUGGAGUACUGAUCUCGUGAUAGCGUGUUUUUCACACCUCUCUUUAUCUCAGAUUAUUGAUGGAGAUUCUCUGGUCACAUUUGUAGCCAUAUCGCAGUGGAUACCUUUAUGACUCCAGAGUUCUCGUCAUAUAUCCAGAUUUAUGAUUGCCACCUCAGGACCAUGUGCUUGUAUGUUGUAUUGUCGUCUUUUAAAGUUUUAUUGCAUGUCCUUCAUCCGUUUUGUUUGCAUUGUAGGGAGUCAGUUUAGGAGUCGGUUGAGUCUGGAGUCACAUUCCUGGAGGAGAGUUCGAGGACGAUUGAUCAGAGCAGAUUCAUAUCCGAGUUCAGAUAGUUCAGUUGAGAUGUCAGACGAGCUAGCUUCCACACUUGCUUCCAUUCAGGAGUUCAUGGCCGGAGUCAGUAGACGCUUGGAUCAGUUAGAGAGUUCUCGCCAGGAUCCUCAUCCGGCCGGCAUGGUCACUGACGAGACGAUUCCUCAUGCAUCUCAGACAGCACAGACUCGUCCACCUGGGGUUUCACUUAGUACUCCAUUCCAUCUGGCAGAUCAUUAUGAGACCAUUCCACCACCUACUGUCACAGUACCGCCUCCCAUGGUUCCUACUAUUGGGGAUACUCGAUUGGCCGAGCAGGAGGCCAAGGUUGAGAGGCUCGAGUCCAUGAUGAGACAGAUCAGAUUGCAGGACGGAGGUUUGACUUGGGAUGACAGAGAUGGCAUACCGGCGGCUAGCUUGCCCGCCAAGUUUCGCAUGCCAGACAUUGAGCGCUACAGUGGGAUUGGUUGUCCCAAGAUCCAUUUGAGAUUAUACAGCACUGUCAUGAGGGUGCACGGGAUAGAUGAUGCACAGCUGGUGGCCCUCUUUCCCAUGUCACUUAGUGGGGCAGCUCAGAGAUGGUUUGCUUCAGUUGAGCCUUCGAGACUCCGCACUUGGGAGGAUGUGGCUCGUGAGUUCCUGACCCAGUUCGCUUUCAGUGCCGAUAUUGACGUAUCUAGACGAGAGUUGGAGGCCACCAGACAGAGGCCAGAUGAGUCUAUUUCUUCCUUCGUCACUCGUUGGAGGGCGAAGGUGGCUGGUAUGAUAGAUCGGCCUAAGGAGCAGGAUCAGAUUGAUAUGGUUCUUCGGAACCUACAGCCGAGGUUCGCUAGACGUCUGGUGGGCAUCCCAUUUCAGGAUCUUAGGAGUUUGGUUCAUGCUGCUUUCAGUGUAGAGGAGGCUAUGGCUCGAGGAUUAUGGACAGAUACUACUCCUUCCCCUGACAGUAAGGGGAAGAAGCUGAUUGGACCAUUGACUAGAUCUGGAGAGGUUGGUGCUAUUAGUUAUCAGCACCAGAGGCCCGCGCAUCACGCAGCUUAUAGGUCUCCUACAGUCAGAGCUCCUUUCUCUCUUCCACAGUAUCAGUAUCAGUUGGAUUAUGCUCAGGAGCCUUACAUUGCUCAGACUAGCAUGCAGCCACGACCACCACAUCCGAGAGCCGCUACUCGCCCACCGCUUAGACCAUAUGCACAGAGGCCCCCGAGACAGUUCACUCCCUUGGGCAUGACUUUGACUAGAGCUUUUGAGAAGCUCAGAGACGCUGGAGUGAUUGUUCAUUUGGCACCGAGGCCUUUGCCCCAUCCUAUUCCUCCCCAUUUUCGUUCACAUGAGCACUGCUUGUAUCAUCAGAUUCCGGGGCACGAUACUGAGCAUUGUUCAGCACUCCAUCAUGCGAUACAGGAUUUGAUCGAUUCAGGGGUGGUUGACUUGGCUAGGCCAAGUGUGACCACCAAUCCCCUGCCUGCACAUUCUACACAUGCAGUUCCUCCUCCUCCUGGUCUUCAGUAGAUUGAUUUGGAUGUUGAUGGUAUUGAUGGUCGCAUGGUAUUUUGGGACACCUCGGGUUGGGGACUUUGUUUCAGUUGACGUGGGUACAUCAUUUUGCAGCGAUUUAGCUCAGAGCACCUUCCAUUUUGAUUUAUGGUCGUCAUCAGAGUCGUUCCCGAUCUGUCGGGUCCAGUGUUUAGCUCAUCAGAGUCGCUUUGUCGAGUCCAGUUUGGUUCAGAGUCGUUGUUUGUAGUUCAUGUUGAGAGUCUAGUCUUUUGUAGUCUUCUAUCGCUUCACACAUGAUGUACUUAUUUGGUUCAUUUAGUGAUAUGAUCUUUUUAUUUUGAGUAUGUGUUAUUCUCUUUUCUAAUGAGUAUGUUUUGCAUAUCUUGCGUUGAUGUGUGCUAUGCUUUUGAUUUGAGACAUAUUUUCACUUAUACAUCAUGAUCACUCUGGCUUGACCUAUCAUGGAGGAUAUUGAGCCUUUUGACCUAGGAUUAGGAUAUCGACUUAGGGAGUUCGAGACUGUGACCCGUUUCACCUUCCGUUCAGAGUAGUACUAUAUUCAUAUCCAUACCCUGACUCUGUGGACUUGUUGACUUACCCAUUUUGAGCUUGACAUGACACUACCCUUGGUACCGUUAUACUAUAUUACCAUCCUUGUUCGCCUUAGCAUAUUACAGUACCAUUCUUUGUUUCUUUCCAUCAUUUCCUUGAUCUGACCAGGUAGAGUUCGAGAUGGUUAGACCCGAGGUGAGCUUUACACGAUGAUAGAUGGAUCAUGAUGAGAGAGUGGCUUGAUUAUUUGAUGCUAUUGUUGAGAUAGAGGGGUUAUCAUGGAGCAUCCAGAUUUGAGCCAUUGCACAUGACUUUAGAGAGUCGGGAUGAUUAGACAUGGUGACUUUAUGAGAUGAUGGUGAGUGGCAUAUGACGAUAGGGCGAGGUGAUUGUCGGAGGACAUUGAUGAUUAUCACAGAGCCUCGGUGGGAGCUUUCACGUGAUUUUGGAGGAGGUGACAUGACUUUGUUAGAUGGAUGCCAGUCUUUAGUAUUGGCCACGUGAGAUCUUGAAAGCACGAUGUUCGAGGUUUUGGUCAAAGGAUGGGUGGCCAUCAUUUCAUGAGCCUAUUUACUUUAUCACCCUCGCAUAUAGAGUUAUCUAUUGCUAGCCCUUUGAGCCUCGCACGAGCAUCAUAGCCUUUUCUUUCACCACCUCAUUUACCUAUUACAUCGGGUUGGGGACCCUAUAGUGCUUGCAUGCUAUGUUUAGAUACGUCAUGAGUUCCGGGCCUGACAUACAUAUUCGAGCCUCAUUCUUCACUCUUCAUUGUGGUAUUUUCCACUUGGAUAUCAUUUCAUCACUAUUUUCUGAUAUCAUAUAUCACCACUUGUGAUAUUCGUUUUCUGUCUUUUCUUUUAUCAUUGCUUACUCGACAUUAUCCGUGUUUCACCUUGAGUGGUGGUUUUUCACACAUCACUGCAUGGAGGAUUGUCACAUUCUUUCCUAUCAUUCACCUCAUGGGCAGUGGUUCAGAGAUGUUAUUUUGAGAGGUUGUCUUGUUAGUGAGGAUUCAUGUUACAUUCGUAUGUGGAGAGGGUUUGAUCAUUUGGGUAUGUAUUUUCAUGGGAGUUCAUUCAUUAUUGAUCAGAGUAUGCGCAAAAAAAAAAAAAAAAACCAAAAAAAAAAACCAAAAAAAAAAAAAAAAAAAAGAUAGCGCAUUGUUCAUUUUAUUAUUUUUCCAUUGGGCAUGUGUAUGGACGUGCCGGUUUGCUUCAUUCAGUUUAUGUGUCAGAGAGAGUUCGUAUGAGAGCUUCUUUCUGAGAUUCUAUCUUGGUGUACAUUUUGGGUGAGAGUAUGAGUCAUCCAUUCGAUUUUUGUGAGAGAGACGAGCGACUUUUCUUUAGUAUCUCUGGGUCAUUGCUCUAUCCAUCAUUCCAUUUAUUUCGGAUGUGACUACUUUCCAUGCUUUGAUGCAGGUUGACCAUCACUCAUUUUUCUAUCUUCGCGCCUUCUUUUAUCUUUGUUUUAUCACUCCAUUUUUACCAUACCUCACCCGAUUUCUUUCUUUUCUCAUCCUUCUUGAUGUUUGACUUGAGUUCAGCAUCCGCACUUCAUGCUUGCUUAUUCGAUAUGACCAUUCAUUUAUCAUCACUUUUCGUGUGGGGACCCCUAGGUCCGGGACUCAUGACGUUUUCUACGCAUUGCAUCUCAUGCAUGAGGGGUAUGGGGAUUAUAUCAUUGGGAUUUUUGAGCCUAGUUUCCUUUCAUUUCUUUCACCCUAUUACCUUAGCCUACGUUACGUCCCGUGUCUGAAGACCACCCUGAGGUCAUUACUUCACACAUUGUGUUUGACAGCUCACACGUGGGCAAUACUUGAGCUUGGUCGGAGAUUGUUCCUCUGAGCAGGAUGGAUGGGGAGUUGAGAUGAUGAUUUACACUGGGGCAUACCCCUCUUAUCAGUGAUGGAUUUUUAGAGGCGACGUCGUAUACACUGGGGCAUACCCCGCUCAUUGAUGACAUUUUCUUUCGGGAUGGUGCCUUGCACUGAGGCAUAGUCAGUUCGCCUCUUCAUUUGGAUUACGAUGGAUCAGGAGUUGUGGGAUGACCCUAUACUGGGGCAUGGCCAUUUCAGAGGGCGUUUUUAUUGGAGAUACGGUCGCUCUACUCGAUACUCUGCAUUGGGACACACUCUACUCAUCGAUGGUUGGUUUUUGAGAUGACGAUUUUAUUUGAGGCGUAGCCCUCUCAUUGGUGAUGGACUUUAAUUGGUCAUUGGAGCAUAGUCACUUCAGUUGGUUUAUACUGGGGCAUAGCCACCGCAUUCACAUUCAUGGAGCCCGGGGAUUCUGAUUCAUAUGGAUUAUGUUGAGAUGUUUCCGUUUUGGCACCAGGAGUAGAGGUUGAUUGAUUUGUUGACUCGGAUACACUACUUUACAGUGGGGCAUAGCCGGGAUGGAGAGCAUUUUUCAUUGGAGCAUAGCCACCCUUUUGGAUCCUUUACACUGGGGCAUAUCCAUCUUUUGGAGGGAGAUCAGAUUGGUUCUUGACAUUGGAGCAUCUGACGAGCGAUAUGGAGAUUAUUGGAUUGUUUCAUGCUGUUCUCAUUGCACACUAUGGCAUAGCCACCUAGUUGGAUGUUUCGACAUCGAGAUUUGACUUCCUGUUUGUGAUUGCUGCUUACGAUGGGUUAUGGAAUUAUCGACACCUCGGGUUUAGUCUUCUCGGCAUACUUGGAUGAUCUCGGAUAUCUCCCUACCUUUCAUUUCAUACUCAGAUGUUUCACCAUGGAUACUUUCAUACCGUCUAUCAUACCGGAGCCUGACCAUCACCUUCUUUCAUCCUACACAUCUUACCAUGGCACAUGACCUUACCCCCUUUCUCGAUUAUGAGGAGAUGUAGAUCAGUCCUCGAUCACCUUGGUUGUGCUUUCAUAUAUCUUUUGGACUUUAGGUUCAACAUCUUCCAUGAUGACAGGGCCUAACAGAUUGUUGACUUAUCAGUGACGAUGCUUUCAUUUUGAUAGUUGGCAUGUUGAGUGUUGAUUUGCUUACUCUUUCCCUUUUGAGCACUGGUCAUCAUUAUUGUUAUUAUUCAUCAGUUAGCUUUGUUUUGUCAGCAUGGUGUCAUGACACAUGGUCCUGUUUGGCAUUACUUAUUUGAGGUUGGACAUUUUCAUUACAUGAUGGAUGAGCAUAUCUCAGAGUACAGUAGUUUUGAGGCAUUUUGCAUCUCUGUCUGUUCAUCAUUACAUACUGGGGCAUACCCCAUCUUCGAGAGCAUUGGACCUUCGACAGGUUUCAUUCACUUUUGAUCUAGUUGUCCACCCUGAAAGUUGCAUACUGGGGCAUACCCUCCUUCUCCGAGAUCAUCGGACCUUUCACAGGCUUCAUUAUCUUUCGACCUAGUUGUCGAUCCUCAUGAGUUGUCAUACUGGGGCAUAUCCCCUCUCGAGCUUACUUGCAUCAUUAUCUGGGUCAUCCUUUGGUUCUGGGUCACUUGAUCAGGUCAUUCAUCAUUAUCGUGUCAGUUUGAGUCGGGGUUGCACCUAUACGAUCGACCAUCUCUUUGUCAUGUCAGUUCAGUUUUUGGGACCGCACCUAUACGAUCGGUCAUUAUCGUGUCAGUUUGAGUCGGGACCGCACCUAUACGAUCGGUCAUUAUCGUGUUAGUUUGAGUCGGGACCGCACCUAUACGAUCGGUCAUCUCUUUGUCAUGUCAGUUCAGUUUCUGGGACCGCACCUAUACGAUCGGUCAUUAUCGUGUCAGUUUGAGUCGGGGCCGCACCUAUACGAUCGGCCAUCUCUUUGUCAUGUCAGUUCAGUUUCUGGGACCGCACCUAUACGAUCGGUCAUUAUAGUGUCAGUUUGAGUCGGGACCGCACCUAUACGAUCGAUCAUCUCUUUGUCAUGUCAGUUCAGUUUCUGGGACCGCACCUAUACGAUCGGUCAUUAUUGUGUCAGUUUGAGUCGGGGCCGCACCUAUACGAUCGACCAUCUCUUUGUCAUGUCAGUUCAGUUUCUGGGACCGCACCUAUACGAUCGGUCAUUAUCGUGUCAGUUUGAGUCGGGACCGCACCUAUACGAUCGGUCAUCUCUUUGUCAUGUCAGUUCAGUUUCUGGGACCGCACCUAUACGAUCGGUCAUUAUCGUGUCAGUUUGAGUCGGGGCCGCACCUAUACGAUCGGUCAUCUCUUUGUCAUGUCAGUUCAGUUUUUGGGACCGCACCUAUACGAUCGGUCAUUAUCGUGUCAGUUUGAGUUGGGACCGCACCUAUACGAUCGGUCAUCUCUUUGUCAUGUUAGUUCAGUUUCUGGGACCGCACCUAUACGAUCGGCCAUCUCUUUGUCAUGUCAGUUCAGUUUCUGGGACCGCACCUAUACGAUCGGUCAUUAUCGUGUCAGUUUGAGUCGGGGCCGCACCUAUACGAUCGACCAUCUCUUUGUCAUGUCAGUUCAGUUUCUAGGACCGCACCUAUAUGAUCGGUCAUCUCUUUGUCAUGUCAGUUCAGUUUCUAGGACCGCACCUAUACGAUCGGUCAUUAUCGUGUCAGUUUGAGUCGGGGCCGCACCUAUACGAUCGGCCAUCUCUUUGUCAUGACAGGUCAAUUUCUGGGACCGCACCUAUACGAUCGGUCAUCUCCUUGUCAGUUCAGUUCGAGUUUGGACCGCACCUAUAUUGAUCGGUCAUUCAUCGUGUCAGUCGAGUCGGGGUCGCACCUAUAUCGAUCGGCCAUCUUCCUAUCAGUUCAGUUCAAGUCGGGACCGCACCUAUAUCGAUCGGUCAUUGUCUUGUCAGUUUGAGUCGGGGCCGCACCCAUAUCGAUCGGCCAUUUCCCUAUCAGUUUGUGUUUAGUUCGAGUCGGGACCGCACCCAUAUAGAUCGGUCAUUCAUUCUUCCUAUCAGGCCAGUUCGGCAUCCAGGCCUUUGCUUCAGCAUGACAUUCAGGGUCACAGCUUCUAGCAUUCAUAUUCACUAGCAUUACACGUAUCACCUUCAUGGAUUUGCACUUAUUCUUGUUCUCCUCACCUUGUUACCUUAUGCUUAUCGUUUCAUCAUUGCUCUUCUAGGCUUCCCCUUCCACUACACAUGACAUAGUUCUUUGAGUCCGUGACGCAUAUUUCGAUCAUGUUGUUGGGCACCUUACACUUGGCAUUCUCGUAUAGUUCACAUAGAGCAGUCUCCUUCGGGCACAUUCUUUCUUGUACUCCAGGGUGGUUCGACCGUUACUCAUCGAUCUUUGAGUCACUUUUGGAGACAUCUUAGAGGGAGCCUGGAUCCUUAGUGUGGCUUUAGAGGCAUUUUGAGACAUCAUUUCCUUUUAGGAUUAGAACCUCGUUGUUCAUUUGUUAACCUGAGUGAGUUCGUGUUUUAUUAGUGUCCCUAUGGGGGUCUCCUUGAUUCUUCGGUAGAGUUCACUUCAUUCCACUCUCUAUUCACACUUCCUUUUCACUUCAGUGUUCAUGUUCUUUGCACUCGUGAACUUUACCGAAGAGGGGCAUAUUUGUAGACCCCCUCUUUGGCUUUGUUUUUAUAUAUAUAUAUAUAUAUAUAUAUAUAUAUAUGCAUUUAUAUUUAGCCUUCCUGCCACUUGGGAAGCGCCUGGAGGAUGACAUUUGAAGGGGGGACCGGGCUUCUUGGAGGAGCAGCUGCAUGGAGCACGUGACGAGGCAGGUGGCCCUCUCCAUGGUGGUGGUUGGAGCUUCUGAGGUUGCUGAGCAGGGAAUAGUGGAGUAGCUGAUGGCUUGCGAGUGAAGAUAGGAAAAAAGAGAAGAAGGAAAGAAAAAAACGGGUAGCAGUGGGGAGGAUUCUUUGAAGAAAAAAAAAAGCCUGGAGAAAAGAAGAGAGGAAACGCAAGAGAAGGAGAAGGGAGACCGCUCAGGUUAGAUUACUUUUGUACCCUAGGUUCUCCAUUUUUUUUAUUAUUCAUUUUGUUCUAUUUUCAGCCAUAUCUCACUCCUUCUUGAUAUUUAGAUGUUUCCGGAUUAUUUAACGCGUUAAAUUUGCUCCUCAUUUCAUGAAUUGCUUGGUCCAUGUUUUGGUUCCCAUGCGAAUUAUAUGAUAGCCAUGCAUGUUGCCACAUUUUCUCUCUCUUUCUCUUCCUCUUUCCCUUCCUCUUCCUUUUCCUCCUCCUCUCCAUGCAUCUUCUCUCCGGUGGCGCGAAGCAUGCAGCGUUUCCAGGUGGAGGGGCAAGUUGAAGGAGAUGAUGCCUUGGGCUUGCCUUGAUUUGGGCUUAAGUUAAAACACCCAGCCCAAGUUGAUGUUAAAAUGGUGCCUUGGGCUUGCCUUGAUUUGGGCUUAAGUUAAAACACCCAGCCCAGGUUGAUGUUAAGAGGAUGCCUUGGGUUUGCCUUGAUUUGGGCUUAAGUUGGAGCCCAGGCCCAAACUUUUAUAGUGAUGGUGCCUUGGGCUUAAGUUAGAGCCCAGACCUAAGCUCUUGGUGACGGGUUUGGGCUUGAGUUGGAGCCCAACCCAAGCAUGUUGAUGAAAGGCCCCAUGCCCCCUAUGCUAGCCACCCUCAUUGGCCCAUGCCCACAUCCAUUUAGCCCAUUAGGUUGCCCAAAUCCAAAUAAUCCUCUUAAAAACCUCUAAUAUCCAUAAUUAAUUAAUUCAAUCAUUCCCUCUUAUUUGUUAUCUUAUUCUAUUUCUACCAAUUUAUUUAAUUCAUCUUAAGGACAAUUAAAAGACAAAUUAUUAUUGUUAAUUAUAUUUUUUUUUUUUUUAUCUUGAAAUUCAUACUAUUCAAUUUCACUAGUUUAAAUAUUAGGAUUGUUAAUUAUUAUUAUUACUUCGUGCGCAUCUAUUUAUCAUUUUUUUAAAAUCCCACUCAUUAAAGUUAAAUUCUAAUCCUUCAAAACCCUAUAUCUUAAUUUAAUUUUUCAAUAAUUAGUUUAGAUCUCAUUUUCAUCAAUUAAGGUUAUUAUCUCAUAUUCAUCUAGUUAUUUAAAAUCUAAUCCUUCAAAAAAUUCAUAUUUUAAUUUAAUUUUUUAAUCCUAAAAAAAAAAUCCUACAAUUAAUUUAAAUUUCAUUUUCAUCAAUUAGAAUCAUCAUCCCAUAUUUAUUUAAAGUCCAAUCUUUCAAAAAUCUCAAUUUAACUUUCAACCUUAGAAAUUCUAUUAUUCGCCCAAACGUUAUUUUCGUUAACUAAUCCUCUAUCUUUUUAUUAAUUUAAGGUCCAACUCUUCAAAAAUUCAACGUCCUGAUUUAAUUUUUAAUCCUAAAAAUUCCUCCACUCACUUUCUAUUCGUUUAAAAUUUUGUUUCCAUUAAGUAGCAUUAUUAUUCCAUAUUAUCUAUUUAAUCUAAUCAUUAAAGUUCAAUUCAUCAGUACCCAACUUCCAAAUCUAAUUUCUAACCUCAAAAGCUCCGUCGUCCGUAUAUCACCGUUUAAUGAUUAUUCUCGUUAUUAACGCUAUCUCAUCCACUCGCUUAUUCAGUUAUUCAUAUAUCAAAAAUCUCAUCUCUAAAUAAAUUCUUAAGUUUUCAAUCUCUAAAUUCACAUCUUCAAAUCUCUAAAAUUUCAUAUUUCGCAAUUAUUUACCUAAACUUUGUUACUUCACCAUCGUUAUUAUUCCAUCCCUUUACUUAUCCGCUCAUCCACUCAUCCCCUCAUUUAAAAUCUCAAACUCUCAAAUCAUUUUCAAAGUUUCCAACCUCGUUCAAAUUUAAUUUUUAAAAAUUCUCAUUCCCGCAUUUAAUGCCUGAAAGUCCGAUCUUCAAAUAAACUCUAAAAUCCCAAUUUUCUUUAAAUAACUUUCGAGACUCCAAUUUUUCAAAUGAAUUUCAAAAAUCCAAUUUUCUCUCAAAUAGCUUAAUUCCAUUAUGGUUUUCAAACAAUCUUCUACUCCUCUUAUUUUUAAUAAGCAUGAACAAAUUUUUCGUAAUUCCAAACAAUGGAAUUUAUGAGAUGAAUUCAUGCUAAAAUAAAUGGGCUUUGGUGGGGGCCCUACAUAUGAGACUUCAUGAUUCAUUGAUUGAUUGAUUAAUUGAUUUAAUUGUCAUGCGUGUUUGAUUUAUUCUAUUCUUUGACAUGCGUACAAGUAUAUGUACAUAUUCAUUGUUCACUGAUCCUGCUUCAUGAUAGCGCAUUUGUUACUGGAGGUCCAGGUACGCACUCAUUCUCAUUUUGAUUAUUCUCUAUGCAUGCUCUUAUUUUCAUAUGUGCAAGUUUGAUUUGAGUAUCUGCUGAUUUCCUCAUUCAUUACCACACCAGCUUCAUUUUAUUAGUAGAGACCCGACUUUAGGGACUUAGAGGGGUGCUACGGUUUUUACCGUACCUUCCCGAUAAGUAACCUGACCCCCGAACCCGAUCCGGUUUUUCACAGACCGCCUUUUCCAAAAUAAGGAGUCACACUUAGGGUUUUUCUUUCUUAUUUUGUUUACCCCUUUUAAAAAUAAAACAAAAAUAAGUGGCGACUCCAAGUCAUUUUCUUAAUCAAUAUAAAUCAAAUUUUCAAAUUAAAAUUCGAGCUCGCCAUCGAGUGGGAAACGCAUCGCGCAAUCAAAAUGCGGGGUCCACACAUAGUUAUAGUGUUUUUUUGGAAGAAGCACGAGACAGAUGAUUCUACAAUAAAAAAACGUUUUUUUUUUUUAAAAAACACUCAAUGCUUUUAAAAAACAUUUAUAAUAUAAAAAACAUUUUUUGAAAAAAAAUAAAAAAUUGAUAAAAUCCAAAAUAUCAUUUUUAAAAAGAUUGAAAAGUUAUAUAUAUAUAUAUAAUAUUUCAUAAAAGAGUAUUUUAUAAAUGAUCAUUGUAAAAUAAUUUUUAAAAAAAAUAUUUUUAUUAACAACACUUUCAAUAGAAAUAUUAUUAAACAUAUUCUCAUUGAAAUUAAAAAUGUCUUUAUUUAAUUUUUUUUAUAAAUAUUUUUUUUUAGAAAAUCACAUAUAAGUGGUAACCACAUAUAAAUUAUUUCUAAAUUUUGUUAGGAGUAUAGUUUUUUUAAAUAUAUUUUUUAUAUUAUAUAGAGUAGAUACAACCCUAAUGUUUUAGGAUGUAUUUGAUAAUUUUUUUUUAAGAACGGUUUUUUAUUUUUUAAAAUAAAAAAUAUAUUUGAAAAUAAAAAUUUAUUUUCUAUUUUUUUUUGUUUUUAAAAACAAAAAAUAAGAUAUUUUCAAAAAAAUAUCUUUUAAUUAUUUUAUAUUAUUUUAACUUUUUUUCUAAGAGUUAUUUAAAAAAAAUAUUAUAUAAAUAUAUAAAAUAAUUAAAAAUAAAAUAUUAAACAUAAAAAUUAUUUUUAAAAUAUAUUAAAUUAUAUUAAAAAACAGAUUAAAAACAUUUUAAAUUUCUAAAUAUACUUUUGUUAUAUAAAAUAUUAAAAAAUAACUUUUAAAAAUUGGUUACUCAACCCUUCAUUUUUAAAAAAUAUUCUUUAAAUUUUAUUUAUUACGUUAUUUUUCUCUAAAAAUAUUUUUUUAUAUUAAAAUUAUUUUUUUUAAAAAUAUUAUCCAACAGGCUUUAAGUAUCUAUGAUAGAUUGAGAUGUUUCGCCAACUUGGCAACGGAUUAGGUUCGAGCAGGUUCAAAAGUACCACCAAGGCACCAACCAGGUGUUUGUUUUUCUAUUUAUAUUUUUACGAAUUCUAUAUUUUCAAAAACAAAUUAGGGUCAAUUAGAAACCAACCAAUUCUACAAAAGUUGAUUGGAAAAAAAGGGUAGAUGUGAAGUGGGAAGCAUUUUUCAAAACUAAGAAAGAAACCAGUAAAAGUGAAGUUUAAUCUGAAGGCUGAGGACUGAGGACUGAGGACCGAGGAGCAGAGUCAUAAGUCUGACAGAGAGUACAAGUGAACAACACUUUACCCACUUGAGAAUGAUUCUCACGAAUGAUGAGAACCCACCCACCCUUUUCUGCCUUCUGAGUUUGAUGCUUUGACCCAUACAUUUAAAAUUAAAAACAAAAAAGAAAGUUUGAUGCCCACAUCGCACCAACCCUAAACAGAAAGCAAAAUCAUAGACACCAAGCAAUCUUUCAAUAAGUACUGGGUAGACCCACAAGUUUCUAAUUGGGCAGCAAAUGGUUUGGGCGCCUUCCAUCAACAACCCUUUUACAUACUUUAGAUUUUUUGGCAUUUAAAAAAAAAUAAAAAAAUAUUUGUUCGAUUGUGAAAUGAGACGACUGACCAUCUGUUUGGUUAGUUCUCUUCAUGUAUCAUUUUCAUUUUUCCUGUCUAUGAAAAUAUCAAAGAGUGAUUGGUUUUGACUGGAGUAUUGAAAAUGCCUAGUUAGAUCUAUCACUUGAACAACAAAUCGACCUACCAUAUCAUCACAAAAAUUAAAGUAUUCCUAAAAAUGUUACUUACCCACACAAGAUAAGGAGUCUUGUAGAUGUAUCUUUAGUUUUAUUUAUUUAGAAAUUUUGUAUUCAUAUUUAUUUAAAUUAAGUUUUAUUACCUAUAACAUAUAAUUAAUCCUUUUAACCUAAAAAUAAUUAAACACAUAAGAGUUGAUCCUAAAGGACAUCAACUUGAAAUACUAUAAAAUUAUGGGAAUUCUAUUUUUGGUUUUUCUUAACCAAAAUUAUCAUAUAUUUAAGCUUUAGUUUCUUAAUUAUAAUAGAUAUUUUUUGCCAACGCACCCUAAUGAUAUAGGGCAUGGAAUGAAGUAUUCAAGAUAUUUCAACAGAUUUAUGGUAAAUUAUGACAUUAAUUAUCAAUUAGUUAUGAUUUCACUAAACUACUAUGCUACAUGGGCUCCCAACUUUGAGAGAAUAUUGAGAUAAUGUUAAAGUCUUUGAUGACUUUAACCUAUAAGCGAGACUUUAAGAUAAUUAUAUAUUUCCUACGAUAUUUUAUAGAGACACAUGUAUAUUUUAUAGUAUUGAGACAGUAUGUCCCAUCAAGUGAUUCUAAGGACUUGUGAACAUGAAAUCUAUAAUGUCAGAUUAAUUCUUUAAAUGAGAUUUGACAUAUGUCAUUUAUGGACUAAAGUAUGUUAAUUGAUCAUAAAAUAAGAGGUUAUGAGACUUAAGGAUGUUAAAGCUAAUCUUGAGAGGUUGAUAGUUUCUACUUUGUUACAUCAUGACACCCAUUCAUUGAAAGUCUGGUGGAUAGUAGAUUAUGAAUUGAUUGAAUUAGAUUUAAUCAAUUUUCAUUUCUACGUAAUAUCAUAGGGUACUAGAGUGGAGUUGGCUAUCUUUAAUGGAAUGUUGAGUGAACUUCAAAAUUGAAUUAUGAAAGAAUCAGUAUUUUCCUAUAACUACUAAUCGUCCUUAUUCAAGCUCAUAGUCUUUGUUGACAUUUAUGAAAAAUUGAUCAUUUAUAUGCAUAAGAGCGUUUUGUAAAAGUGAAGGUUGCACAAUAAUUUAUGAUUAAUUAUUUUGGGUUUUCUAUAUUAGACUAAUUAAUUAAUCAGAACUCAUUAUGACUAAUUAAUUAAUUAGAACCUAGUGAGUUAGAUUAAGUGACCUAAAUCUAAAUUGGGCCAAAAUCACUUAAGCCCACAUGAGAGUCUAUAUAAACCCUCUCGGGCUUUAGGGUUAGAAUUUAACUUUGGGUUAAUUGUUGUUGGUGCAUUAAAUUGUUUAGAUUAAGUUGAUAAUUUUGUUUCAUCCUUUAUGUUUUAAGACUUUGUGUAUUUCUUGUGGUUUAUGUGGGACCCCGCAUCUAUCUAAGCAUAAAUUCAUUUUCCAUCUAGGUGUCAAAUGGACAAAGAACAUCUGGCAUUGUGAUACGUUCACCAUCGUCUAACAUGAUCCUGACGCAUAGUUUAGAAUAAUGCAUAUUCUGCACAAGAGCCAUGUAAUCUUGUUUGUCUUACCCUAUGGUACUAGACAAACACAAAACCAACUAGGCAUUGCAUACACCGUCUGACAAACAUUAAUUGCGACAGGAAUUAAGUGUUUUGAUUGAUAACAUAAUUAUGAGGCUAAAACCCCAGUUUUUAAGGCUCAUCAAGUCGUAAUAGCCAUUAUGAGUUGACAAUCAUUGACAUUAAAGACGAUAACGUGCAAUCAAUGUCACUAUUAAAACACUUGAGAAGACGUUACAUUUGAGUAAAGAUAAAUAGCCGUUCUUGACCAUAAGAAAGGUAUGUUGUCACCUUUCAAACUACUCUUUUCUUGCCCAAGUCUUUUCUCUCUGACUUAAACUUUGGAGGGAUGUCUCCGGAUAACUUGUCCGAACAUCCUUUUGUGCAGGAAACAUAUUCAUCCGAGCCUUGAGUGAUCUAGAUGGAAAUACACUGUGAUGGUUUCAUUUAUAGCUUGGGAUUUAGAUGGACAUCUUUUUGUUGGUCGUGUACCAAUAAUGGUGUUGUUUGUGGGAAAGCAAACGCAAAAGCUCACAAAAACACAAUGGCUAAUACACCUCUUGCAACUCAAUUGGCUAACGUCGAUGAGCAAUUCCAAGCUUGGCAAGAAAACAUGGAGAAGAGGCAAGAAGAGAAUGAACAAUGAAUGUAAUCACUACUACGGCUGGCAAAACAAUUAAAGCAUGAAAACCAAGAGUCAUGUAGCUUUGUCUAUCUAGCCUUAGUUAAAGCAAGAAAACCAAUAGUUGUGUAGCCUUAUUUGUCUAGUCCUAACUAAAGCAAGAAAACAAAAGGUUAUGGGCUCAAAUGACCAUGGGGCGUCGUUAGCACAGCUUCGAGACGAGAUCGAAGCUAGACAGAGAGAGCUCAUCAUCACUACAUUGCGCUGUCUCUACAAGCAAAUGAGGAACUAUCUGUUAACAAUUCCCCAACUUUGCUAGAACCCUUGCAACAGACGGUUGACAUAACGCAAUGAGAAGAGGUUGUAAGUUUAGUCAAGGAGAAAUGAAAGAGGAGUUAUGAAUGGGGCUCAUGGCUCUUUGAUGCCUUGAAAGUUCGUCUUUGGCCUCAGAACAAAGUAGCACCGAGACUGUUGCGCAUGUUAGAGGCCCUGAAAGCACUAUCUGUCCACCCUAGGGUACCAAAUGAGCACAAAGGCAAAAUGCAACUCCAAACGACAAAGCCUGAACGACAUAAGCCACAAAGCCAAACGGCACAAAGCCACAAAUGGCUAAAAAUAAGCUAAAAGGCAACUCUAAAUGACAAAGGUUAAACAACAUAUUCCGUAAAGCCAAACGAUACAACUAGAAAUGGCUAAAAGUAAGCCAAAUGGCAACUCCAUACGACAAAACCUACAUGACAUAAGCCAUAAAGCCAAACGACACAAAGCCAUAAAUGGCUAAAAGUAAGCUAAAUGGUAACUCCAAACAGCAUGAGCCCCUAUCUCAUCGCUUAAAAGCAAUGUCAAAACAAUGCAAACAAGAAAAAGGCUCAAAACCUAACUUGACAGAACAAAACCGAAAUUUGAAAACUUUUCCAACACAAGUCAAUAGUAAAUUCUCUCCAACCACCCAUCUGGUUUCUAGAAUGAUCCAACUAAGAGAAUUGGGAGGCUUUGUGGGACCCCGCAUCUAUCUAGGCAUAAAUCCAUUUCCCGUUUAGGUAACAAAUGGAUAAAGGACAUCUAGCAUUCUGAUAUGCUCACCACCAUCUAGUAUGAUCCUGACGCGUAGUUUAGAGCAAUGCAUAUUCUAUACAAGAGCCAUGUAGCCUUGUCCGUUUGACCUUAUAGUACCAGAUGGACACAAAACCAACCAAGCAUUAUAUAUCCCGUCUGACAAGCAUUAAUCAUGACAAGAAUUAAGUGUCUUGAUUGAUACAAUUGUUAUGAGGCUAAAACGUCAGUUUUUAAGGCUCAUCAAGGUGUGAUAGCUAUUAUGAGUCGACAAUCAUUAACAUUAAAAAUGGUAACGUGCAAUCAAAGUCACUAUUAAGACACUUGAGAAGAUGUUACAUUUAAGUAAAGAUAAAUAACCAUUUUUUACCAUAAGAAAAAUAUGUUGUCACCUUCUAAAAUACUCAUUUCUUGCCCAAGUCUUUUUUCUCUAACUUAAGUUUUGGAGGGGUGUGCCCGAACAACUUAUUCGAACAUCUUUUUGUGUAGGAAACAUAUCCGUCUGCGUCUUGAGUGAUCUAGACGAAAAUACGCUGUGACGGUUUUGUCUAUAGCUUGGGAUCUAGACGGACACCUUCUUGUGGUUGUAUACCAACAGUUUAUACUCUUUUUGAAGAUUCAAAGUUGUGCAUAAUCAACUUAGAACUACAUAUGUAAGUAUAGUUAAGUUAAUUAAUAAUAAUGACAUAAAAAACAUAGAGUACCUUAAAUGAAAAUUAAUAAUAAAAAUAAUUUGAAAAAAAAUUAAAUUAAGAAUUUUAAAAAGAAAAUAUUUCCAAAAAUUUGAAGAAAUGUGACUGAAGGAUUUUAAAAAGGAAAAUGUUUCUAAACCUUUCUGAACUUUAAAAAAAAAAAAAUCUUUCCAGAUCUUUCCAAGUUUUUUUAGUUUCCUAAAUUGUUUUUUUGGUGAAAUAUGAAAUCUUUCCAAAUCAUUUUAAGAUUUGUAAGUUUUUUUUUUUUUGAUGAAAUAUGAUUUCAAAUUUAUUUGGUUUUCUCUAAUAUAUGCUUAUUGGGAGAGUUCUCUAAAGAAUUUAUGCAUUAAAUUUUUAAAUCAUUAUUCUUUGUGCUUAACUCACAAUUCUCAAAGGUGCUCAUUUUCAUUUUUUGGUUCAUAAGAGAGAUUUGCAUCUCCUUAAGGUGUAAAGGAGUCCACUAAGGAGCAUAGUGAUGGUACUGUUGAAAUAUCUAGAUUAUUCAAUUCCAAGCCCUAGAAUGUUGAGGUGCAUGCUACUAGAUAUAGGUGUAUGGAAAACAUACUAGUGAUUUGGAUAUUUCCAAAUCAAUUCUAGUUGGUGAAGAGAAUGGUGCAAAUCUCAAAUACCUUAUAAUUUUUCAUUCGAUGACUCUCUUUCCUAGAUCUUGACUCAUGAAGAUGAUGGAAUCCUCUCUAUGGGGAGAUUGGGGUUUCUCUCUCUAGAAAAUUGAAUGGCUGAAAAACUUUAAGCCUUAACAAUCUUAAGAAAGUCUAUAUAGACUUACUUUUAGGCUUUAGUGACUUGAGCUCACCUAGAGCUUAGGUCACUUAAUUUAACCUAUUAGAUUUUAAUUAAUUAAUUAGUCUCGUUAGGCUUUAAUUAAUCAACUAGUACAUUCAAACAAACCAUUCAUAAACUCUUGUGAGUAACUUUAUGCAUUUACUAAAACACCCUUAUGAACAUAUGAAUAAAGCAUCCAACUAUCCCUCUGUCACCAAUGAAUAUAAGUUCAAGUAGGGACCAUUGGGAUACAUAAGAAAAUACCGGUUCCCUUAAAAUCCAAUUCUAAAGUUAACUUAACACCCCAUUAUAAAAAGUCAAUCACAUUCUAGUAUCCUAUAAUAUUAGAUUGAGAUAGAAAACUUGGGUCAGUGACUAAUAACAAUUGCAUGCAAACUUCUCAUGUAUUAGUGUUUGUAAUUUAACGAGGUAAACACUAUCAACCUCUUAAGAUUACCUCUAUAAUCUUUAAGUCUCGCAUCAUUUUAUUAUAUGAUCAAUUGACAUACUCUGGUUCUCUAAGAGCAUAUGUCAAAUUCCACUAAAUAAAUUAUUAUCAUUACAAAUUUCAUGAUCACAUGUCUUUAAAAUUACUUAAGGAGACACAUUGUCUCAAACUCAUGAGAUGUCAUGGUGCCUAUCUUAAGAAUAUCUGUUGUUACCUGCCUUGAUCAACAAUAACUCAAUCCAUAUAGAAUAAAUGACCACUUUAGAGUUUUGCCCAUUGGUCAAAGCCACUAAAAACUUCAACACUAACUCAAUAUUCUCUUAAAGUUAAAAACUCUUGCAACAUAAUAGUUUGGUGAAGUCAUGACUAUCCGAUAGCUAAUAUCAUGACUUACUAUAGUACUUGUCCAAUGUAUUACCAUACACAUUAUUACACUCACUAUGAUAACCUUAUUUUGAUAACUAAAAUAAGUCAUCCCUCAAAUUAGGAGGUAACACAUUACAACCUCAUAUGGAUUGCCCAAGUUUAUAAAUUAGGUGUGAACUACUCAUCAAUUUGUAAGGAACUUAUGACUUGGAUCUUCCUCAUGACUCAUAAUAUAUCAAAGUCAUGUACAAUACUAGUGAUUUAGGCCCAAAUGUUCAUCAUACAUAAUACAUAAAAAUGAUAAUAAAAGGAGAACUGGAAUUAUAAUAUAAAUAUUAAUUAAAUUUAUUUAUUUAUUAUAUUAUGUUAUGAUUUUUAUUGCUUUGUCUUAACAAGACAUGCAGUCACUCUAUACAAGUGCAAAAGAUUAAAGAAAGAGUGAUUAGAUGGAAGAUCGCAAAGUUUUUUAGAUCCCCACAUUAGCUAGAAUAGGACCUAGGAACAUUAAAUCCAAGUGUAUGGUUUUUAACACCUAAAUUUAGGUUGUAUUGAAAAAUAUCUUUUUGCUUCUGCUAUUGAUAGAUCUAAUAGCCCUAGGAUCUCAAAGAGCAUGCACCCAUGAUCAUGUUCCUAAGUAGUUAUUAUGUCUAUAUUCCCUUAGUCCUCUCUAGUAUAUUAUGUAAGUGGCUAAGAAGGGUUUUGUUAGUGGCCUUUACUCACCGUUAACCUUAGAUAUAUUGAGGGGAGCAUGGGCAUUCUUGAUUCUUCACUCUACAUAUAAACCAUGAAAUGUCAUGCAAUCAAAAUAUGUCCCAUUAUUAGAGUCUUCGGAAUGCCAAAUUAAUAUAUUAUGUUUCAACACUAAUUUCUUAAGGUCUUAGUUGGUGAUAUGAGCAUAAAUAUCUAUUUCUACUCGUCUGGUAAAGUAAUCUAUGACUACCAAGAGGUAAAAUUUUGUGUCGUAUGGAAGGGUAGAAUCCCUAUAAUGUUGAACCCUCCGUUAGGCAAGCAACCAUGGGCUAGGCAUAGGUUGUGUAUAUGCUCAAGUAGCAUAAAAUGUGUUUAAAACAUAAGGUGGGUCGAAACAUUCAAGCUCUUACUCAAGUGCAUUGAGCUCCCAUUCCUUAGAAAGUGAAUUAAUCUUAGCCAAAGUAAAAGUGUUCUCAUAUGGGCUUGAUCUUAUCCUCAUCCACAACUGUCUGACUAUAAGGAUCAUGACAAUAGAGUAAACAUUUCUUAUUAUCCCAUCAAUGUUUAUUAAGAAGAUAGAUCAUGAAUAAGACCUACUCAUUAUAAAUAAAAAGUAUUAUUUUAUGAAGAGUCUAACUUAAGCAUGAGAGGGUCUUUCUUCCCCACGUCACCUUAAAAGAAUAUUCAAUUUUUAGUAUCAAAAAAUAAUAUUUUUCAUCAUGUUUUGUCAAUUAUUUUCACUUGAUUUAUUUUUCAUUCUUUGCCUUUUUUUUUUUCCUUAUUCAUCUUUAUUGAUGCUUAUUUAUUAUUUUCAUUUUAUUAUCUUUUGCUAAUUUGAGAACAAAAAAUUAAUUGAUAGUUUAUUAUAUUAAUAGGGUAAUAUAUGCUCUUGUGAACACUGUCCUUUUAAUAUUUGAAUUUAUGAGAUAUUCAGAGCAUGUGUGGUAAGUACUUUUAAAAUAAUUAUGCAAAAUAGUUUUUUAAAACAGUUUUUGAAAACCAUUCUUAAAAUUUUAUAGAAUAAAAGAUUGUUUGAAAACUUAAAAUGUUUUUAACUAUCUUUUAAUAUUUUUAAAUAUAUUUUAAAAAUAAUUUUUAUAUUUAGUAUUUUAUUUUUAAUCAUUUUACAUAUCUAUAUAAUUAUUUCUUAAAAUAAUCUGUAAAAAAACAAAUGAAGAUAAUAGAAAACAAUUAAAGAAAAUUAUCUAAAAUGUCUUAUUUUUUGUGUUUAUUAACAACAAAACACUCUGAAACAGUUUUGAAGCAGGUUCAUAAAACCCUUUUAAUUUUUCAUUUUUAUUACAAUUUUUUUUUAUAAUAAUUUUUUUUUAAUUCUCAUACACAUUACCGUAAAUAUAUAAAUAAUAUUUUGAAAACUUAUAUAUUAUAUGUAAUUAUGUUAAUUUUGACAAAGAAUAAAUUGGAAAAAUUAUUUUUAUUUUCAGAUUUUAAAUAAAAUUUUACUCUUAUAAAUAAUUAAAGAUUAUUUUUAAAAACUGUAAAAACUAUUUUUUUUUUUUUAAAAAAAAAAAUUCCCCUACGAAGAAACUUUUAGACAAGAAAAUAUUCCUAAAGCCCGCUUGAUCUCCAAAAGCAUAAACUACGAGGUACGAGUUGGCUUGUCAACAAAAUUCGAAGGACAAAAUCUUUGAGUGUGUGGUUUCAUCAGCCAAAAAAACAAAGGCCAACAAACUUUGCACAGUGGCCCAUGGGCCCCAACUAACCCCAAACCCAAGGUGAUAGACCAAACAGAUUGAAUGACGUCUGUAACAUGAAAUUUUUGUACCAGUUGAAGACGUGUCCAAUGCUGAUUGGAAGAGGCCAACCUAUCAUAGAUGGCAGUAUGGUAGUGGUACACCACCUAGCAUGAUUUUGAAACCUUUUCCUCGCAAAGAAAGCCCAUAAAGUGGGUAAAAAGAGGGAAGGCAGACUGGAAAAUUUUCAAUCAUGGCGAAGAAAAAAAAUACUUGGGGUCUUCAACUUUGAAACGAGAGGUCCAAAAGAAGCAAAUAAAGUGGGGGAAAAAAAGGUAUUCAAAACCAGGGAGGCAGAAGAGGAAUCGAGGGAGGUGUGUGUUUGCUUUAUUAGGUGGAGGAAACAAUGGUUAGAUUACUUGCUUUUUUUUCACUUGUGGAUUUGUCGUUUGGUCCCAUGAGCCAUUUAUGUGUUGGGCUAGUGGGAUCCUUUUAUGGGCAUGGUCCAUCUUUGUGGGUCCAAUGUCAAAGGGCAAUUUGGGUUGGUUCCAAUUCAAUCCUUUUCAUUUAUUUGCUUUUUGGAUCUUCCCAACUAAUCCAGGGAUAUGACGAUAUGAUGUGUCCCUCAUAAUAAUAACAAUAAUAAUAGUAAUAAUCCGAUGGGCCAGUGGCCGAAUAGGCACACGUGGUCGGCAGACGCUUGGAUCCCUUCCCGAAACUGGGCUACUCCACCAGUAAGAAGUAAAGCCCAAACUGAAAUAUUGAGACUUGACGACUAGUUUAGACCAGGCCCAGCUAGGAUUUUCUUUGGUCAGUAUAAGAUGACAAGAUAUCUAAAGAGAGCAAAAAAGGCAUAGUGUAGGGAACAACUAUGUAACAAUCUCUGAAGCUUGAUAAUGGCCAUCAGAGUCCUUUGGGCUAACUCUAGACCAUUUCGUGUUCACAAGAAAUACCAAGUAACAAUCUGUAAACCUUGACAAUGGCCAUCAGGAGUCGUAUGGGCUAGCUAGACCAUUCGUGUUCAUGAGAAACACGAAUUAUGGCCGGCCAAACCCCGACCUAAACCCAUGAUCAAAAUGAAUCCCACCCAACCCAAUGUCAAAGUUAUAGGCCCAAUAGAAGUUUACAAAUAAAUAAACCAAGUUUUUGGACGGCCACGUGCAUAAAUGUUACACAUGGAGUGGCCCAAAUAGAUGCCCCACAGACUGUAAAUAGUAAAUACUCACGAGUCCAAGUGAUCCACUAAUCAAUGUUUUAUUUAUCCUGAGCCUAAGAUACUCAAACUGGGUUCACGGAAAAGAGCUCAACCAUAGUUUAAGCCAUCCAACAACGCUUACAAUGAUCUAAGCAUUUGAAGUGGGGAAAGCCAAGGAAACAUCAUGCUCCAUGACGGUGGUCAUGCAAUUCCAUUUACAAUAGGAAAUGGGAAAUGAAUAUUGAGUAGGUUUGGCUAAAGUUGUAUUGGCUUUCUUACGUACGCAGACCUAUUGUGACAGCAUGCACCCCCUGAAGUGAGACACGUGCUGCGGCCUCAUCCCAAUCCCCAACAGCCCCAUACGCUCUCUUCCAUUUCCAAAAUUAGGCCAUCUACUUCUUACUUCUUGUACCACCAAACCGGAGUGGGUGGGUUGGGUAGAACAAUUACUAGAAAAGAUGGUCUCUUCUAAUAAUUAUUGGGGAGGACUUUAAUAAGUCGAAUAUACUAAAACUGCCCUUUAACUAAAACUUUUAAAAUUCAAAGCAUUUAAAGCACUUCAUUUGAUUUGUUAAUACAUUUAUGACACAUGGGUCCCAUAUUUAUUAUAAUGAUUGAUAUUCAAAAUUUUGGGUUUAACCCUUACAAUCAUAUAUAAUUUGUAAUUUAAAUUUACUAUUUAAAUCAAAAAUACUUUUAAAAAAUAUUUUCAAAAUAUCAUGUAUUGUUUUUUUUUACAUUUUUUAUUUUUAUUCUAAUUUUUAAUUUUAUUAAGAAAAAAAUAAGUUCCAUAAUUAUAUAAUAAAAAUGAUGAUUUUUUCAUAUAUAUAUAUAUUAAUUUUAAAUUGAUAAAUUAUGUUUUUGUAUUAAAUUCAAGAAAGACAAAAUGUUUAAUUUUUCAUUCAGAUUCUCUAAAAAGAAUAAAAAAAUAAUAGAGAAUGUUUAAUCAUUUUUAUUUUUAUAAUAAAAUAAUUUAAAAAAUUAUAUGAUUUUUUUCCUUUGCAUAGUGCUUUUUUUUUUAAAAAAAAAAUUUUCAUAUAUUUUUUUUUCUCAAUGCAUCGAGUGGAUGAUGUUAAUAUAUUUGAUAUGUUAAAUAUUAAUAAGGUAUAAAAGGUGAUCCUCAAUAUUAUUACUUUUAUUAUAAAAUACAGGUACAACAAAAAUAUGUUAUAAUUACAAUAAAACGUAAUUAGGAAAUCUAUGAAAUUUUUUAUAAAAAUUAUAAUUUUGUAUAAUCAUAAUAUAUUUCACAAUAUACCUAUAUUAUAAAUAAUUUCUGAAACCAAAUGAACUACAAAUUUGAAUUCACAAGACUUAUAGUUAUAUAUAUAUAUAUAUACAAAAAUUAUUAAAUAAUUUCAAAACACUAAAUAAAUAUUGUUAAUAUAUUGAUAUGAUAUAUUAAUACCAAUAAGAUAUGAAUAAACAUUUUUAGAAUUAUUAUUUUUAUAAUGAAAUAUAAGUACAAUAUAAAUGCAUUAUACUUACAAUAUCAAUACACUAUUAUUACAAUAUAUUACAACAUGAUUUAAUUUAUUUUUAUUUAAUUUUUUCACGUACUAUAUUACCCCAUGAAUAAUUGUGAGUUAUUCCAUUUAAUAGGUGUGUGUUAAUCAAUUGAAUAAUUAUAUAUUAUUCAAUUGAUGAGUACUCGUAAAAAAUAAUUAUUCAUUAUAUUUUGAUAACAAAGUUUUAAUUGUAUGUUUUAUAUAUAAAACGAUAUAAUAACUUUAGGAUAUUUUUUUUAUUUAUGAGAUAUUAAAAAUUAUUUUUUUUACAAGAUUUUUUUAAAAAUCUCAAUUUUUUUUAAAAGAAGAAUGCAAAAUUUUAAAACAGUCACUUGAUUGUUUAAAAGUGAACGACAAUUUUUUCAAGCUAAGAAAUGUACUAUUGAUUAGCUAUCAAUCUGUACUUAUCAUCAUAUAGGGGUCCCGUAUCAUUGACAAUCUCAAUUUAUUUAUAAAUAAUAUAGAAAACAUAUUUAAGAGUAAAAUUGUCCUUUAAAAGAAUGAGCCUUCAUAGUAAUUAUUUUUUACACCUGUCCUUUUCAGUAAUUCUCCCGUGCCAAUUACAAAAAAUAUAGUUUAAAUUUUUUUUUCUUUUUUUUGAGAAUUAAAUACUUAAUAAGUUGUGUCUGACAAUUGAAAAUUUUUCAAGUGACAUGCAGUUGGUGCAAUAGAGACACAAACAAAUUCAGCAUCUGCAGGUGUAGAAUGUAGUGUGUACAGGUCAACAGUAUUCACCCAAAAUGUGACGUCGUUUCAACACCAACGAAGUCAAUUAAUGGAGCCCAGAAACUCCACUCACUGAGUCGGUGAGUCAUUCUACAGACUGGACAGCAAAUCGUCGAUUAUCAGAGCGCAACGCCUUGUGGACAUCAUGAAUCCCUACAUCAGAGCAGGUAAACACCAACCUCCCAAGCCGAGUCCGAUCGCUCACGAUUACAUUCUCUAUAACACUCCACCCUAUCUCACCAUUACUCCUGAAUUCGCAGCACAACAAUGCUUCUGACCCCAACGUAUUAUGUAUAUAAAUGAAAUCUCCCUUCAUCGUCACGCCUAUCGAAACAAGAGUCGAAUUCCCAUUCCUCAGCUUCUCCAGAAGCAACUGUGGCAUCUCCCCUACUACCUCACAUUUCAUUGUUUCUUCAUUGAUUUUCCACACUUUCACGUUUUUCACGUUAUCGGCGUCCCCAAUCAGCCCAACCAGAAUCAUCCGGUCGCCGGCGAAGCCUAUAGCAGAGAAGAACACGGAAGGAUCCGGGCGCAGAUCGUACGGACCGUGCCACGUCUUAGUUGCCGGAUCGAACGAGUAAGUCGCGCCGGAGGUCUUCUCCGUCACGAACAUUUGACGAUCAUUUACUGCUAUUGAGAGCCAGGUGGAGGCAGCAGAGUCCUUGAGGGUGGCAGGCAUGGACUGGCACGAGUCCCACGACCGGGACUCGAUGUCGUAGAUCUCCACGGCGAGAGGAUCGUCCUCAAAGUCGCAGCUUCCGCCGGCGAUGAUGAUGCGAGAACCGACCACGGAGACGAUGGGGUCGGUGCGCCACACAAGCGGGGGUUGGGCGUGGUGCCAGGCGAGGUGGAGAGGAUCGUAGGAGAAGGAAAGCUUGGAGGGUGAAAGCAUGUAGAGGAGGGUCGAGUGGGAGGAGCGGAGGGCCGAUACGUACCUGAUAGGCGGUUGCUUGAGGUGGAGCCAGAGUUGGGAACGAGGGUCAUAGGCGUGGGUAGUGGUGACAUAGGGAGAGCGAGUGGUCUGAGUGUGAACCACCAGCCAGGGCUUCAACCUGUUGAAAUGAGAGAGAGAAGAGGAAACGGCAUGCUUCCAUGGAUUGGAGACGAGGCAGGCGUGCGCCAGAUCAACCAGAGGCACGUGAGAGAGUAUGAGCUCCAGUACGUCUCCAUAGAUGGGAGCUUCUUCUACUUCUUCUUCUUCUUCCACCUUUGUCUUUCUAGCCAUUCCCUGUCGCUCCAGUUCCCCCAAGUCCUGCCCCAUUUGGUUUCGGGCGAGGCUGUUGGGGUUAGGGGAUAUAUUUAUAGAGGGCAAGGAAUAAUAAUUAAAAUAGGGAAUUUCUUUUUCUUCCUUCAAUUUUUGAAAAGGUAGUGCCGAUCAUGUUAACUGCCGCGACUUGAAAUUCAUGCAUCAGUCUAUCCUGGGGGAGGCCAUGGCAGAUGGCACCCUCAUUGACUUCCUUUUUAAUUAAUUAUUUUUAUAACCCAUUUUCCUUUAGAAAUUUUCAAAAGAAUAACAAAAAUAAUUAAAUAAUAUAUGAUCUAAUAUAAUUAUAGUUUAAUCAUAAAUAAUAUAUUAUUUAAUUAAAUCUCAAAAAUUUUCAAAUUGGAAGUAAUGAGAACACCCUAUCAAAAAAAUUAUUUAGUAAAUUUUGAAAUACAAAAUUGAAAAUUAAUAAAAAAUUUAAAUUUAUUAGAAAUCCUAUAAUAUAUAGAAAAUUUUUACAUACAUGGAAAGACUGAAAAACAAAUUAAGAUUAUAUAUAUAUUAAGAAAAAAAUGAUGAACCUAAAAUAAAAAGAAAAAAUAAUUAGGAAUGUUAAAUAGAUUUUAUAAAAAAAAAAAUGUUUUAAAAAUCUUAUUUAACAUUUAUAAUUUUGGCCUAUUUAAGUCCUGAAGACUUAUUACUAUUUUUUUUCUAUUAAUAAAAUGUAAAUGAAAUUAUCUUUUUAUCUUUUGAAAUUAAAAAUUAAAUUUGAAUGAAAUUAUUAAAAAAAAUUAUUCAAAACUCAUGGUAGGACUAUAGAAGUUUUGGGUUUAUUUGGAAACUAAUUUCGAUAAUAAUUUUCUGUUAUUUAGAACAAAAAAAAAAAUAUACAAACGUAUAAAAUAAUUAAAAAUAAAAUAUUAAAUAUAAAAAUUAUUUUUAAAAUAUAUUAAAAAAAAGUUUAAAACCUUUCAUAUUUUCAAACAUAUUUUUAUUCUAUAAAAAUUAGGAAUAAAAUUUUAAAAAUUAUUUUUUAAAAUUAUUUUUAAAAAUAGUUAUCAACUAAAACUUUUAUUUCCAAACUUAUCCAUAAGAAAAAGUCAAUUAUAUUAAUUAAUGUUGUUUGUAUAACGUCAUUCGUAAUAUUGGGUGAUGUUUAAAAUAUGUAAAGCAUUAAAUGGGACGAAUAAAAUAUUAAUUUUUUAAUUUAAUAACAAUAAAAAUUGAAAUAAGAUAAGCAGGCCCCGCCCCCAUGUUUUCUCCUUGAGGCAAGUCUCUGGUCAACCCUCCUUACAGCCUCGUGUCUAAUAGAUAAAUAUAAAUGAAACAAAUUAAUAAAAUUAUAGUUAAAAUAAAAAUAAAUAAGAAAAUAUUUAAUUAAGAAGAUUCAAGAGCAGGGUCUGUGUUUGCCUUCGAAGUUUGAACAACGUCGAAAGUCACAAAAGGUGGGGAGGCCCGCCGAAUUUGAAUGUCUGAAAUCCACGGGCGCUAUUUUGGGAGUAUUAUAUAUCAGAUGGGUGCCAUUUGAUAAUUAACUUAUUUUUAUUGGAAUGUAAAUUAUUUUUUAAAUGUGAUGGUCAAAAUAUUGGAUUGAUUUUAAGGAAUUAAAAGAAAAGAAAUUUGGCCAAUCAAUAAUUUCAGAUCGCCAUACAAAUGAUUUCUACCCAAGAAAUGAACAUGGUAGUGACGUGGCACUUUUGGAGAUAAGCACCAUUGCAGUUGUUGUUUGGGUUACAAUCUAAUCAAAUUAAUAUUUUCUUAGGAAAUGGAGUCCAUGGAUUCACCCGUACCAAAAAGACAACUUUCCGCACUUUGAAGCUGCUUUGUGAUAUGGAUAGAAUUGGCCCACUUGGGCAGGCGAGAAGGUGUUGGGUCUCUCUAUUUUAUAUUUUUCUUUAAAUUACUACCUUAUAUUAUACACCAACGUUGGCAUUUGGACCUUAUUUUUUUGUGGACCGGUGGAAAGGCAAGAAUUAUGAUAACCUCAUACAGUCAUACCCACCGCUAGUUGGUUUUGUAAGUUACCUAUGAUUUCCCUUCAAUCAACAAAAAAUUGUCACCGACUAGAGUAAGAGAUUGCCCACCUGUCACCAACCCCCAACCCCCUAACAACCCACUAAGCCACCAUUAAUUCCAAAGCGUAAACUCGGCUGUUUCUUUUUUUUUUUUUUUGUGUACAAAAACCGCUUCCUAAUUUCUCCGUCAACAAAAGGGGACGGUUGAUCCACGAUUCUACUGUGGAAGAAAUGACUCUACCUAACACGUUUCAAACGCUGGAAGACGUGAAGCCCUUGUUCUUCCUUUUAAAUGGCUAGUAACAGAGCUUUCCACUGAUGGGAUGUCUUGACGUUUUUUCAAGAGAAACAUAUUGAAUCAUGGUUCAUGGGUUUGACGCAUCAAAUGCACGAAAGAUCUUACUCGACUGUAAACUCAAAUCACCUCACGAUUCAUCCCCACCCCAUCCUCUACGUUUCAAUUUUUAUAUUGAAUGAUAGAUUUUGAUUUUUGGAAGUUGGUCUAUAUUAUAAGUUGAAGUUUGGUGUUAUCGUUAUCCAUUAGGCCACAUUGGACACCCACCAAGUGUUUGAUUUAUGGGGUGCUGCAGCGUCAAGAUGCCCUCAACAAGCAGGCAGAACAAGGAUGAUGGGCCUUAAAAAACCAAGGGACUUAUAAAAAGGGGAGAGUGGAUGAGUGGUAGUUAGUAAUGGAAAAUGACAUAGAAAUUCGGGGUUGGUGAUUGGAGGAAACGUUACGUGGAAUCAACCGUGUGUUCGAUGGGAAGAGCCUGAGAGGAGUAUCUAUCACAUGUAUUUAGGCUGAGCAAGAAGGGGGAUUUGGACGCGCAAGGUAAAGGUAGAUUAAUAGAUAGAUGAAUGCUAUUUUUAAACAGAAACUUAUUAAAAGAAAAAAAAUAAAAUAAAAUACAAAUAAAUCCAUACCUACCCCAUGGCAGACUUGUAAAUUUUUUUUUAUUUGACACCUAAAUGGAUAAGGAUGAUGCUUCUUUUUAAUGUAUAUAAUAUAGAAAUAAAGUUUUUCUACCAAAAAAAAUAUAUAUUUUAUUUGGGAACUUUUCUUUGUCAUCCAUUCUCCGUCUAUUCCUGAAUAAGCCCAUAUUCCUUUCCUUUGAAAUUAGCAAUCCGCCGUGGUAAACGAGACUUCAUUUUUGACGGUCAAAGUGUUCAUUAUGCGUCAACAAAGCCUAGCCAUUCUGAAUUCUGAACUCUGAACCUUUAAUUUUUUCUUUUUAGAAAAAAGAAUCAGUUCAAAAUACCAAUUUCGUCUUUUAUACUGUUGGGGAAACACAUUCACAGGCCGAGCCCACCAUACAUGAGCAAACAUCUGGCCCAACGAAGAGGCAGGUGAGUGGUUGGUAGUGCGCACAUCACAACCUCGGAUGGGAUGAUGUAUGUGUCUAAAUUUGGUGCUGCUCCUGUUUCCUUCAAAUUUGACCCCCUCCUAUUCUAUUGGUCCUUCCUGUAAAACGUCUGCUACUUUUUUAUUUGUCCUUUUUUCUUUUCUACCGGAUUUGCUGCGUUUUCAAGCAUUCAAAUCUGGUUUUCAAACAUUUUUCUUAUUCAAGAAUUGUGCCACAUGCACAACGGUAUUUAUAUUACCUAUUUAUAUGAUCAACCUUAUUUAGUAAAUACAAAAGUCUUUUAAAAUUUAAUCACCAUAUACUCACGCCUAGGCUUGGGCUUUGGGUUUGUUAGAUUUUUUUAUGGACCGAGCCUGAGGAAAGACAAAUGAAUUAAAAAGUGGGCCUCGUAAAAUCCACAUCGGUUCUUGACAGCCUAUAAAUUGAAUAAACCAGACAUCCAGUCCAAAACAAAUUAGAGGCCUGACCCCCUUCCCAAAGAGAACGAGUGUAUUUGCAGAGGAACCAAAAUGUAGGUUCAGACGGAUACAGAAAAAUAGGAGAGUUUAAUGACAAAAAACAAAUACAAAAGCAGGUCGACAGAUUAAGAUGGACAUCAAUGUAAGCUGUUUUAUCAUUGUGCUAAGGUGUCAUCAGUCUCAAGCUCACUAACCUGAUACUCAAAGACCAUUAUUAGUGGCCCAUUUAUAUGAAAGUACAAUUUAACGUCCUACGGUUUCUGGAACAAUUGAACUGGUAAGAACACUUAAUGGAACACCCUGAGUUUGCCAUAGACAUGAAAAGACGAGAACAGAGAUUUUUAUCAAGAUUUGGUACACUUAUGCAGCAGCACCGAUGCACUCAAUUGCCUGUUUGCAUAUGCCAGUCAUGGUUGCCUCAGGUCCAUAAACCUGUAAAAGAACAUAUAAACAGAAACGAUUUUCAGAGAAGUAAUUUGAUGGAAUUAUCCCACAUCAUGAGGGUUGUUUUAACCCUAACAGAUGAUUCUGAGAUUUUAGAUAAAUAAAGAUAUACCUCAAGAGGGAUUCCAAUUUCCUCUCCAAGAGUCCGCAUUUUUGCAAGACCCCUCUGGUAAUUUGGACCUCCUCUCCUAACGUAUAUGUGCAUUCUUGAAGCUUUAAGCUUUGAUUCCUGCUUACACAAUAAUACAUAAAUUCAGUGUUAUUUUUUAAAGUAAAAUGGCAACAUGGGAAUUUUGCAAAGCUCGAAUAGGAAUAAGAUCACCUUCUCUUUCAAAGCGCGAAUUAUGCCAUUAAAAGUAGCAGCAACAUCAGUAAAGUUAGCUAUUCCUCCUCCAAUUACAAGAGCUCUCUUAAGGCCAUCAGGGUUUGCAGUUGCACACUGUAGACAAUUCAUGUAAUUAGUGACAGCUGAAUGACAAAAACAAAAACAAAAUUGGUUUGUGAAUGAGCACUUUACAGUAAACCAUAAUGUUUUGAAAUAUUGGCAGUGAAAGUGAAGCAAUAUGUAAAUGAAGUAUGCGAUAUAUUGAAUAAGGAAAAAAACUACUUAAAAUAAACAAAUUAGCAUAUCAAUUAAAAUAAUGUUUCAUCUCUAGCAUGGUACAGAUGAGUCCUUACAUCAAUUACAACUCUAGCAUACUGCAAUACUUCCUCUUCAUUUGGUGCUCCACUAUACUCUGCAUAGUUCCCAAGCUCAGAAGCAUAACCGAGAUCACCAACCUGAUAAGACGAAAUAUUUAUUAACAGUAAAAAUAGCAUGAGCUGAAAGUAAAUUAAAACCUUGAAGUCCUAAUCCCUAAAUUUAAAUGAUGAGAACCGCACCGUAUCUGCAUAGAUGACACUUGCACCUCCUCCUGCUACCAUAGUCCAAAUCCGUCCCUUGGGGUUCAGAACUGUGAACUUCAAAGAGGCACUUGUCUGCAAGAAUAUGACAACUUGUAAAGUUUAAUAACAUCCUCAUGAAUGAGGAUACCCACUGAAAAGACAUGUGAUCCUUUUUGGGGAAUCUCAAAAAUGUUACAAGAUUAUACCUAAAAAAAUCCCAGAUAGAGAGAGAGAGAAAGAGCAAGCUUUAAUUUAUCUACAGCAAAGGGAUGACUACUAGUGGCUUGCUAUGUUGAAAUAUUUUCCUACUGGCAUGAUUUGAAUUGGUUGUGCAAGCUACAAUCCUGGGUUUUGCACUAGAUGAUAACAUGAAGAUUCAAAUGAAAAAAAUGACAACAGAAAAUUGUCAUUUGUAGGCAGUGAUUGGUGGGUGAAAACAGAUUUCGGGUACAAGUAGUAAGCAAUUAAGCAUCCAUAUGUACCUUUUCAUCUAGCCCAUGAAUAAAGGUUUCUGUAGGACUCAUAACUCUUCCAAAUGGCAUUGGAAAUUCAAUAUUGCCCCACCUGUGAAAGCAAAGCCAUGUUAGAGGUGAAAACACAUAAAUUAGUGUUAUCAAAUCAUCUAGUUUAUACUACUAAAACAAGAGAAAAAAGUGCAACUAAAAAUGGGAAUGUACUUCUUGAAGUUCUUGAAAGCAGCAGUAUCGUCCAGCUCGCCUCUCAUAUCCAAAGGAUAAGGCUUUCCAUCAACCAAUGUAAAAGGAUUCAUCUCUAGGAAAGUGAAGUCCAGAUCUGGCAAAUGAAAAAUUUAGAGUUGAUGGCAAAUUAUAACAGAUCAUAAAGUUGUUUAGCAACUAUAAAAUAAUAUGAAUUUCUUGAAGAUUAUAGAUAUACCUAAAAAUAAAGCAAAAACCACUUUGAUAAACUCCUCAAUUUUCCCCUUGAUCUGAAUCAACAAACAAUAUGUUAGUGAUUUCAAAUCCACAGCAGAACAGCUUCCCACAGACAAUAAGAAUGAAAAGAGAAUACACGAUUGCACUGAAUAUGCAGUAUUUGUUCUGGCCUUGCUUUAAGCAAGAUAAAGUAGCACAAUCUGAUAAAACAAGGGUAAAUGGCCCUAAUUCUGGAUUUUUAUUUUUUUUUCAUCUAACAACAGCCAAUGAAGGAACAGAACAGUGGUUGACUAGGUUAUUGAUUAACUAUAAAUUACCUCCAAGGGAAGGGUGGCAACUAGUGGAGAACAAAUUUCUGAGGUAAAAGUGGCCCCGGUUGGGAUAAAUAUAGUUUUAACCUGUAAAAAACAGAUCCCGUCAUAAAUUAAGGGGCAAUAAAGAAAGAUAAUAAACGAGUGUAAAGAACAAUGGUUUCAAUCAUAAAGGGUCUUUCAUGGACUAAUAGUAACAAAAAAUGAAUUUAUGUUUAGAAGUACCUUAUCCCAGUUCUCUUCAAUUUCAAUACCUCCACAUUCGGAAAAGCUUAUGCUACUCCCAAGUCGCUCUGAAACCAUGUUUAGGUAAAACUCUUCAUUGUGUGGGAUGAAGGGUUCAACAAUGAAUGUUGUGAUAGGCCCUCUGCAUCCCCCCAUCUCUACCUAGAAACCCAAAUGGAUAAUAGAAGCAUAAGAAAUCCACUUCAUCAAGGGAUGGAAUUCAAUGAUAAAAAUAUAACAUACUCAUAUUAACAUACUCAUCAAAGGAUUAAAAAUGAGUCACAUGGUGAAAGAGUUUAAAUACCUCUUUGCCAAGACGUUCUUUCACGAAAGUACCAACUUGAGCCAAAUCUAAAUUCAGGGCAACUAAACCACUCUUCCCACGCUUGCCAAAUAACAUGUCAGGUUUCACGACCAGUUUCCCUGAUAAGAGCCAAGGUUCCUUCUCUGCUAGCUCAUUGAAGUCAGUUGACUCUGUGAUCUGAGGCAUAACAAAAGGAAAACAAUACAUCAUUGAAGUUCAAUCAAAACUGGAAAUAUAUAAAUCCAAAAAAAUCUUCAUGUCUUGAAUUUUUACACAAAAUCUGAAACAUUAAAAAAAGAAAAAAAGAAAAAAAGAAAAAAAAAAAAACAACAACACAACAAAACAAAACAAAUUCCAUCAUCCUGAACAUUCCUUGCUGAUCAGGAAGUCUCCGUCUCUGUUAAGGAUGUGCAAAAACACCGAUUAAACCAACUGAACCAAACCAAUCAAUUUUUACAUUUUGGUUUCCUAAAUAUAAAACUGAACUAGAUUGGUCCAGUAUAUGGUUUCCAUUUAAAAAAUCGAUAAUAAUUGAACUGAACCAAAAGGACAAAAUAUUUGUUGAUUAUAUUAUUAGUCUAGUGCACACUUUUCACAUCAAUAGGAUCCCCAACUACACUUGCAUAGCUUUUUUUUCUGUCAUUAGGCUACUUAAUUAAAUUAACCAUAGUUGUUAAAAACUUACGAUACACAAUACGAUACAUUUUUUUAUGAAAAUUGAUACAUAGUACAAUGCACAUCUUAUUUUAAAACAUAUCUUACGAUAGAUAUAUGAUAUGAUAUGUAAUAUUACAAUACAACGAUAUAUAUAUAUUUAACUAUUUUCUAUAAAAAAAAUUUAAAUCAAAUUAAUUUUUUUUAUUAAAAGAAUUUAUUAUAUUAAUUGUUUAAAAUAUAUUAAAAGAUUAAAAAUUGAUCAUAAAAAAAAGAAAUAGGUAAAUAAUCUUAUAUGAAAAGUUAUGUUCUUGUUGUUUGUUAUAUUAAAAUUCAAUCAAGUUUAUUUUUACAAUGUAUAUUGGAAAAUUUCUAUUUGAAUCAUUGUUAAAAAUUGAAGAAGUUUUUUUUUAUGGAUUAUAUGAUGAAUCUAUAUAUUACAGUCACAUUUUGUUAAUUUGAACUUGUCAAAACUUUUAACAUUCAAUAUUUUCUUUUGAUAUGAUAUAGAUUAACUCUUUAGAACCUACUAUCUUCCAUAAAAUUAGUUAUAUAUUACUCUAUACUUCAUACUUUCAAUAGAUAUACAAACAUAUUUUUCUUAUUUAUUUUUCACUAUAUAAAAAAACUUAUAAUACACGAUAUAAUAUGAUACAUGAUAAAAAAAAUAGAAAAACAAUACACGAUACUUUUUAUGAGCUAACAACUAUGUAACUGAAAUGUGCUAUAACAUGAAUUAUUCGUGUCAUUGGUUAUUGAUGUAAUGAUUUGAUUUCAACCAUCCAUAAGACAAUUGAAUAUAAUAGCAUUAUUUGACCUUUUUAGUCCACAAUGUCCAAUUAUGGGCUUUUUUAUUUUUGUCCAAAUUAACCCAAAAAAUUCAUUUCUGCUGUUAAACUGAACCAAACCAAAACAAAGUAAACUGACUUAAAUCGGUUGUUGUUAUUAAACAGAACUGAACCAAUUAGUUUCUUCCUUAAGUUCGAUUAGUUUGGUUCUUAAUGCAUAAAAACUAAUAAAAUGGUUCAAUUUGAUUUUACUGCUCAAAAUCAAAGUAACUGAAGAGUGCACACCCCUAGUCUCUGUGAAAAUACAGAUAGUUUCAUAUUAAUUCUCAUAUUUCAGUUUCACACAAAAAAUUGAUCAUUUUGGACAUUGAAUUCUGGUUCAGACAGCUAAAAUCACAGUGUUAACCAAAACUGCCAAUUGAGAAUUACAGAUUUCUAAUCCUAGACCUUUUUAGACAUUGUUAGAGUUUUUCAAGAAUCCUUCUGAUAGUAAUAAAUAAGAUAGCACCCAUCAUAUAAUUAUGUGCAAAUUAAUCUUUCUUACCGAACAAAGCUCUCUUAACAAUGAUGAUAAAUGUAUACUACUAUAAUAAAGAUAAAGAAUCCUUCUUGUAGAACUUUAUUCACAAAAUUAAAGCUCAAAUCUAGAAACUAUACUCACUUGAGCUGAUUUAAUUGGAAGGUCGGUACCAGAGAGCCUCUUAAAAUGCUCCUUCAACAGCCUCUUGGAAUCGUACUCUCUGAUCUUCUUGCGCGCCAUUUUUGACCUGUUUUUCAAAAGUUCAACCAUCAGAGUUCAAUUUGAGCUUAGAUCUACUUACCAGGUCACAAGAAUCCAACAAAACUUGCAGUUGAUAUAAAAAAUAAAACAAAAACAUUAAAUUCAAUUUAAAAAACCAAGGAAAACAUAAUAAAAACUGAAAACUUACGGGGAAAAUGCAUCCAAUUGAUGACUUUAAAACAGAUGCAUAAAAAUUAAUGAUGGACGAAAAUAACAGAAAUACCAAUAACACAAUGCUCCGUUUGGCCGAUGAGAAAACAUCGAAGAAAAACAACUAACUCGGAAUUUUUUCAUUUUAGGACUCCUAAUUCGACGAUUUGGCCGCACUGAGGUUAAUUUCCAAAACCAAAACAACAAAAAGCCACAAGAUUCAAACUUUUGAUUUUAUUUUUGUCCUCCAAUUUCUCGGCAACCAAAAGGAGCGCAAAUGUAGAAAUUUCAGGAAACGAAACAGAUCAGAAAAUGUAAACAGAGUAAAAUCAAGCAAAGGAGGGUAGAGACGAUCGAAGGUAGAGAAUGUUGAAAUUUGAGAAGAAUUGCAAUACCGUUGAGGGAGACGUAAGAAAGGUAGGCGUACGGGCUUCUGAUGGACAAGUUCCCACACAGUAAUGCAAUACACCUUCGCUUCCUCUAUUUUGUAUUUAUAGUUGAGAAAUAAUAUGCAUUUAUUUUAUUUUCCAAAAAAGAAAAUUGAUUUGGCUGAUUUCUUACUUUUGUGGCAAAUUGGAUUAUUUGGACACGCGCGGCAGCUACCCACGAUUACCAACGGUUCAACCAUUUUUCAAUUGGGGAUGCAAUCUGGUGGGUCGCGUGAUGGAGGAUUAGGUAUUGCAGCGGUCCCCGCUGCCAUUGAUCCUGAAUACAUUUUUUCUGGGAUUAUGUGUAGUACCGUAGGGCCAUUGCAUCGGUCCAAAAGUUGGAACUUAAUGUGCAGACUUCGCUGGUAAAUUUAUUAAUUAAAUUAAAAUAGGGUUAGGUGCUGCCACUUGAGAUGUUCAUUUUGGACAACCAGUAACCAACACCCACCUUCAUAUGCUGGCCUUUUUUGGUACUCUAAUCAAUCAAAAUUUAAAUGGUGUUAGGUGUAUAUAAUAUAUACUCUUAUUUUUUGAAAUAAAAAAAUCAAAAUUUAUUUAAUACCUUAAUUUUUUUAAUCAAUUUUUAAAAUCAUUAAGCCUUCAAGAUGUGAAAGUUAUUAUUAUUUUUUAACCUAUACUUUAAAUGCAAAGUUGAGUCAAAAAACAACUAAAUUGAGUGCACUUUAGGGGGAAAAAAAAAGCUUAAAUUGGGCAUUGAUAGAAUCAUUUUCCUUGGUUUUAGUAGGUAGUGGAUUUUGGUGUUUAGUGGAGAUAUAGAAUUUGAAUUUUUAUUCUCCCCCAACAAGCUGAUCAAGUUGUGGAAAUUAGGGUAUGAGUUCAUGGUGUACGGGUCAAGCCACUAGUUCUCUCAUCACAUUGUUCCCAUUAUAAUUCAUUUUAUUGCGGGGAGGACACCAAGGGUUGGUGGAGUGAAAUUAAUUACAGCGCAGCUGAGCUCCCACCCCAAAGCAUGAGGUGAUCUCACCAAACAAUAGUAAGAGAAAUUCUCAGCCACCCUAAUGAGUCAAAACUACACAGCUGCCUCUUCCUCUGCCAUUCCAGUUGCUCCAGUGAGAACGUGAUAUCGUAAUAGAAUAAGAUCAUUUGGAUUUGAAGUGCAUCACCAUCAUAUUGAAAAUAGAAAUAAAGAGUCCAGUCAAUUGCGUAAAAUGUGGGACGCCUUUAAAGCCCACUUGGGUGUGAUCCAGAGGCGGGCAUCAAAAUUGACCCGCUGACUGAUAAAAUCAAGUCGUAGUGUGAUGAUCGUUCGAUUAUCGACGAUACGUAUUGAAAUGGCUAUUUUCAUUUCAUUUUCAUCCACACGGCAAGGGUCACGGCCCUCCCACUGUGACACAUGACGUUGAGCCAGCCAACAAACAGGUGCACCGUUGUCAUUCCAACCACCAACUACUACUAAAAUAUUGAAGUCCUUGGUUGUUUUGCACGUGCCUAUGGAGAUUUAACACACCCAAAUCUACAAGUAAUUUUGCACAUUGAAAAUUCCAAUUAAUGUCCUUUGACAAUGGACAUUGAAAAGAUCUUUUUCGUUUUAAUUUCAAACAUUUUAUGCCAGAGCGACUUGGUGUAGUAGGUGUGGGACAUCUCUCCCGUGACUCACAAGAAUGCCAACUUGCUGGGCUAUGUAUUAAAUUAGAGACCACACAAAGUAUCUCUUUUACGUACCAUAAUGGAGAUUAUUCAUAUUUUAAAAUGUUUUAAAUAAUUCUGAAAAAUAUACUUUCUAAUCGUUUUGCAUUCCAAUUGGAAAUGAUUUCCUUCCAUUCAAAUUGAUUGGAUAAUUUCCGUGACUGAACGCAAGGUGGAGACCGGUUGUUGCAGUCACAUUGUUACCACUGGCAUGGCUUUUAAUCAACCAACAUCACAAGGCCUUGGCAAUGAGUGGGGGGACCCAAAUCGACCUUCCCAUGAUUUAAUAUUUCUUUUUAUGCCAACAUAAUGUAUAAAAUAGCAUUAAUUUUAGUGGAUAUUAAGAAUGUUUUCAAAAUUGAAUCAAUUAUUAAACCAAAAAAUAAAAAAAUAAAUUACUAGAUUACAUUUUACUCGAUCAACCAAUAAUUCAAGCAUGGUCUAACCAUUAGUAUAAUAUUAUGAAUAUUUAUUAUGGAAGCAAAAUAAUAGCAAGUUAAAGAGAUAAAAAAAAAUACAAAUAUUAUAUAUUUGUCUGCUACAUCUACUUUUCUCAAGUUCUUAACCAAGUAAAGGUUUCAAUACCUUCAAAACUUUUCAAAUCAAAAUUUUCAAAUUUUUUACACUUGGAUUCCAAAAUUCAAAUAAACCUUCAUAAUUACUUCAAGCACUUAAUCUACUUGAAGACUUUUCUCUCACAA
rnacentral:lncRNA from 1 species